GGAACCGCCAGAAGGCCCUCGGCGCUGGACCUCAGUGUCCGCACAGAACGAUGGGGGUGGAGACGCUCCUUCAGGUAUACUGGGCCCAGGCUGUUUAGGGUUUUAAAGGUCAACACUAACACUUUAUAUUGUGCUCGGAAACGUACUGGGAGCCAAUGUAGGUCUUUCAGGACAGGUGUUAUAUGGUCUCGGCAGCCGCCCCCAGUCACCAGUCUAGCUGCUGCAUUCUGGAUUAGUUGUAGUUGUAGUAGCCCCACGUAGGCCAAGAAGCCUUGAAUUUCUGUCAAAAAAGCCAGUCUAAAGGUGGUGAUGUUCUUCACAGAGUCCUUUGUGGUCACAAUAGACUAUCUCGUUUUCUUCACCCGUGAUGCUUUCCCUGAAAGAUUCACUUAUGGGGGGUUUUUUUCUUUCCUUCAGCUCUAAUUAAAGCUUAAUUUCCCAUAACAACAAUAAGAGUUCCCAGAAUUGCAUCAUCUUAGUUGUGAGGUAAAUAUUGAUUGCUGUUCAUAUCCACACCACACUCUUAUAACUGCAUUAAAUAUACAGAGAAUGGUCACAUCUAACAUCCAUUCCUUGACUGGAGGCUGCUGCUGCCAGUGUUUAAUUGGAUUAAACGCUUCCUCAUCUCUUCUUUGAUCAGGGUCUCUGAGUUAAAUCCAGUAACUCCUCAUGGGGUCCCUGGAGCCUUCCCUCACCUGGAGCCCUCUGGUUAUUUUGGACUACAACUCCCAGCAGCCCCAAUAAGCCAGCAUGGUUGUGGGUUCAGAGCAGUAUCCAACUAAAUUUUAUUUAUUUUUAUUCAUUAAAUGUGUAUAAACUGUACUUUCAUAUAAAGUGUCACAUGGUGGCAGGGCUUUUUUUCUCAGCCGGAACCCAGUUCCGGUACCGCUCAGGUGGGCACCAUUGCCAUUAUAAGACAACAAGAACUCAACUGUCCUGCUUUUACUGAGAGAUCACAUCUUAAAGAAUCCGCCCCGGCUUCUGAUUGGAUCUGGGAGUGUCCCAGGAUCCACGUGUCUUCUCUUGAGCAGCUAAGGAGGCCUGCCUCUGUGGUGCUGCUCUGCCCAGAAAAGGCCUGCCCAUGUAGCACUGUGGCGCUCCGAGAAGGCCUGUCCUCACAGUGCUGGCCGAUGGAGGCAGCAGCAAUGAAGAGAGAGUAAGGUAAGACAGCUUCCAAAAUACCAGUUGAAUAAGGUUGAUUUGCUUGACUGACAAUGCCAGCGUAGCCUCUCCUUGAGCCUUAUUAGAAAUGUGCUAGAAUAAACUUUGGGGAAAGAGUGUGCUCUCUGGAUUUUCAAAUUCAUAGCUUGAGACAGUUAUUGGCCUUUAAUAUAUUCCCCAUGGGCCAUAGAUAAAAUGGAAACAGGAUCAUUUUGUUUUGGAUCCCCAAAGGAAGCAAGGGGGAGGGAAAAUCUUCUGAAAAGCAUUGAGGUGUUUCCAAAUAAUCACAUGUUUACCCAAAAAGCGCAGGGAGAUUCUCCUCAGAAGGGAGAUUCUCCUCAGCUAGGUAUAGAGCUAUAAGGUGCUCAAGGGAUACACUCUCUCUCUUUCCCUCUCCUUUUUAUGGUUGAUUGUUGGACUCUGGUUUAAGAUUCUGUGGUUGACUGUAGGACGCUUUGAAGCCCCUUGCGCUCACCCCCCCCAAAGGUGCAGCCCCCCAAGUGCUUUUUUCAGAAGGAAAAUGCACAAGAUCACGGCUACCAAAAUGGCUGCCAUUCUCGCGCGAUAAAAAAAUGAGAUGUCCCAGUUUUUCUGGGACACUUGCAGGGUAUGACGUGGUGACUUCCUCAUGGCUAUGAUGUGACACGUACAAAGACUCCUAGUUUUUUCCAGAUUACUGAAUGAGUUACAGUGCCAACCAUUGGAAGAAUUGGCUUCCCCAUAGGACCUGGAGGGAAGGAAGCCCACAGGGAACCAUUGAGAAAGCCGUCAGGCUGCGUCUGAGCUGAGAGCAGAGUGAACAGCGACAGGGAUUUCGGUAGCAGGCCCCAAAGUGAUGUUCUCCCUGCCCUAUAUCCUCUGCAUCUCCACCCCCACUGUGGCAGCUGGCCAAAUCUGGCUCAGCCGCACCAACAUUGUGGAUGCCCAGGCAGGCCUCUCAUUAUGCUACAAAUUGUGUUUUGUGCCUUGUUUGAAUGCUCUCGAGUUAAUUUGUUUUAUGUUCAUGUUAAGCACCCUUGUACCACUAACACAGAGGAAACUGCCGCUUGCAACGGCGCCUGGCCUUGUAAAAACCAGGACACUCCGAAAGUUGUUGAGCUUUUUUUUUUUUUUUUACGGAUACACAAUUUUCAGGACAAAGCGCCACCUGUCAAUUCUGCCUUUGAAAUUCCAGUAAUGUCCAGGAAAAUCCGGAAACAUGGCAGCCCUAGUUCUACCUUGUCGUGCUGGUAUAUUUUUGGAUCAUGAUUCCUUUAAAAAACAUGUUUUCUAUACUUCCAGCCUUUAUUGAUCUCCAUUCAGUUGUUGCUGUUGUUGUUGAAGCAUCAACAAACUUUCCAGGUAGAGGAGGGGGAAUGCCUGACUCCACUGGUGGCACAGUUUCUGUGGAGAGCCCAGCUUGCUCAAGGACUCAGCCUUAUACUCUCUCACUCUGUCCUUGCUGUCCUCCUCCUUUGCUAAUCCAGUGAGGCAGAAGAAGGAAAAAGCUGGAGGCAUGAGUGUAGAAAGAACUGGAAAUUGUUCCUAAAACACAUGGGGAAUCUCACAAGUCCUUGAGAUUGUUUCAGGAGGGGAACAUUAACUUAGCUUACAGCAUUCCCACAUAAAACAAGGGGGACACAGGCAAUUUUCCAUCAGUGGGGUUUUUAAUUUUUUGUUACUUUUCUAAGCAACAAAAAAAGACAGUACUCACAAAAAAGAAAAAAUGGACAUUAACAACAAAAUAAUAUAAAUACAACAUAAAUACAACUAUUUGUGUUAAAGUCAAAAGAAAUAUAAAAUAUCAGGAAUAAAUGAACUGGGUAAAAUUACAAAAUUGUAAAAUUAUAAAUGGCGUAUAAAAAUACAACUUACAUUAUACAACAAAGGAAAUGGGGUAGGUGAGAAGAAAGGUCUUGCCUGUUUCCAGAUGCUGCCAAAUAAAAUAAUAUUUUGAAAGGAUUUGCCACCCGUAUGACGGUGUUGUCAUAUAUUUAAUAAAUAACCCCCAAAUAGAGGCAAGGAGGUUUUUCAAGCAUGCCCAACCUGCCUGCCUCUAGGGAGCUGCUUCUUUUUUUACUCCUUGCUAUAUUUGAACUGCAGCAGCACGUGGGCCUCUGUUUUGUGUGCUCAUCUUUUUUCGGGUGUGUGUGCAUGUGUUUGAACAUAUGUAUAAAUUAAGUGUAGUGGAAUAUUGGCUCAGCCCGGGAAACACAAGGGAGCCACAUGCUCUGCCACAGCGUUGGCUGUUGCUGCACCAAAGCAAAAUUCUUCUGCUACAGAAGGCAGCCUGUUUUGCAGCUGACUCAUGGCAAGUUGCCGAUUCUUGCAGGACAGAAGGUGCACCAACACAAAAGGACAGUGGAGAUAAGUUGAUUCUCCUACUGGCCUAUAUCACUGCUGCAAAAAUUACUGCACAUUUGGCAAAGAAACUAGUUUGAGCUCUGCUUCUUUGCCAGCAUUUCUAGGGAGCUUGGAGGAGCUCACAUUCUGAUCCAGGAAACUAUAUAGAACUCGGCGAAAAGCAGAAUUGUAGAGAAAAUGAGCAUGUUUGUUUUUUGGCCAUCUACUUGUUAUUUCCAACUGCAGUUUAUAGUAACCUCUACACUGUACAUUUAAAGCACUCUUAUACCGCUUUAACUGUUGGUUCUCUGCCCAUAAAGAAUCAUGGGAACUGUAGUUUGUUAAGGGUGCUGGGAAUUGCAGAUCUGUGAGGGGUAAGUGAUGGCUCCCAGUAUUCUUUGGGGAAAUCCUUGACCAUUAACGUCUGUGCCUGGACCAGCAACUCCACAGAGGCUUACAGUGAAUGUUGCCUUGGGCAGCAGUGAACACCAAAGGCAAUGUCCUCUGGGAUUGUCUUCAGGAGACACGGCAGAGGAUGCUAUCCCCUGGUAUGGCUAACUGCUGGUUGGACUGAUUCCUGUGUGAGAACCAGGAAUAACCAGGAGGGUGUGAAUGUACCAAACCCAGCCUCCUGGUGAGAGGCAGAAGGAUGGCAAAUGGUGAUCUGGUGAUAGCAUGAAAACUAUUCAUGAGUACAUAUGAAGGAUACUUGGUGGGUGGUAAUAUUGUUGAGGGACUGAACAGUUACCCUGCGACCCAAGGGGGGGGGAUAAUAGCAUCAUGUGCCUGAGAACAGUGGGGUGGGAAGAUUAGAGUUCUAGGGAACUGGAGGUAUGGAAUGUGUAGGGUAUGCAAUAUAGAAGAGUGGGGAGUAGACACUUGACACUUGUUGCCCCUGCUCAGCCUCACUGCAACCAAAACUUCAGUAGCCAUGCUGGUUUGCUCUCCCAACUGGCGGUGCUGUUACACUUGCUAGGUCAGUCCAUAAUAAAAUAGCCUUUAUCCACAAUUUGAUUGGGCUGAUUUGGUAUGUAUUAUAGAGACUUAGGUGAGUGAGCUGGAGAGUCCUGAUCAUACCAAGCUUUACUUGCCUGGGCAUUCAGGGCAGCACAGGUCAAGGUUGGAGGGGUGAGAGAGAGGUGUGGCAGAGACAGAUCAGGGAUCUUGGUGGACCAUCCAUCCUGCAGUUCAACCACAUCCUGGAUUGAGCUGGCAAGGGAGGUCUGUGGCAUGAUGGUGGAGAACUCCAUGAUAUUAGUUCCAGAGGACUUCAGUAAAUAUUCUGUGAGUGUGCUUGCCACCCUGGGCUUUUUUGGGAGGAAGGGCAGAAUAUUUAUUUCAUUUAUUUUAUUUCAUCAAAUUUAUACACCACUUAGAAGAAACAACCUCAAAGCAGUUUGCAAAAGAUAAAAUGGUUAAAUCAAGAAAAAGUCACAACCAUACUUUAAAACAUACAAAAGUUAAAAUACUAAAACAGGUUGUUAAUAUGUCAACUUUCUAAGUAUCUGGGUAGACUUGUCUAAACAGGAAUGUUUUUAGCAGGUGCUGAAAAGUACAGUGAUAUUGUCUGCUUGUUCUCAAUAGGCAGGGAGUUCCAAAGUGUAGGAGCUGCCACAUUAAACGAUUCAAGUUCUUACAAAGGCAGAAUGAGUAUAAUGUGGCACCUGUAGUACUGCCUAUUUUGCUGACUGAAGAGGUUGGGUGGGCAUGGGUGGGGUAAGGGUAGGCAAACUGGUCCCAAGCUGUUAAGGGUAUAAUAAUAAUAAUAAUACUAAUAGCCAGAGAUGGGCCAUCAAGGUGGAAACAGGGUGGUGAUGGUCUUUCCUCAGCCCUUGACUCCUCCAUUUACAGAUGAUGGCAGAUGGGGGAAGACUGAGCAAUCUUAAAGGGAGAGCUGAACUUUGCCAUGCUGAGCACAACGGCAACGCUCCCCACUCGUGUCUCCCAGCAACUGGAAUAAUUCCCCGGCAUUCUUCCUCAGAUCCCGGAGCAUGUUUGCAAAUGCUUGUAACCAAGGUGGUGGUGGUGGGGAGAGGGGUGCUGCGUCCCUUUAAGCGCCUCCCUUCCUCCCCUCCUUCCUUCAAGUAGGGUGAGCGUGGUUUGUCUUUUUGCGACAAGUGCCCUUACAGAAAGCACCACUUGGCAACCAACUUCACAAAUUCCUUCCUCUUUGCAGAGAGCAAACUUGCUGCUGUUGCUUUUCAAUGAGGUCCUUUGAUUGCUAUUGAGCCGCUUGCGCUGUUGCCAGAGGCGGCCUGGCUUUAUGCAAAAGGCUGGCUAAUUGUGCUACUUCCCUGGGCUGCCUUUGGAACAAUGUCUCUUCCAGCUCUGAAGCAGCGGAUCGCUUUUCAUGCCUUAAUGAGCAGAGGAUCCGGGCAUUAGAUCCAGAGCCAAUUCAUGCAUUAAAGUCUUUCCAGGCCCCCCAAAUAAGGUUGUCUUUCAGAAUUACAUUUGGAAUCAAAAGCAAAUAGCAACUCCGAACCCCAGCAAGUGCAUGCGUAUGUAUGUUCACUCUGUCAAGAUUGGAGCCCCAGAAAAAGCUGGGCAGGAUGUAGCACUGAUGAAUCAGGGAAACAACACAAAUAGCAAACCAGUCUGCCUACAAACUUAUGGGGGUGGGUGUUAGUUUUUUUUUUUUUUAAAAACAAGCAUUUCUGUUUUCCUGCACAGUUGAAGUAAGGACCCCUCCGUCUUUGCCAGGAGACUGGGUACGUUUGGUGGCCAGUGGUAAACUGGGAGUGGAAAUUCUCUUCUCUUUCCCCCACAACUGUUCUGUACACAAUGGGGGAGCCACAGCUAAUCUCUGCAGAGGGUGGGUGGUCUGUAUUCAGAAGGGGCUUUAGAGGCAGGCUCCAUCCCGCAGAUCAAGGAUGCUUAAUAAUUGUGCUCCUCUGCACCUCCACAACACACACACCCUACCCCGAAAGGCAAAGAAAAAGCCAGUGAACGUGUCAGAGGCAGAGUGCGAAUGUGGAGAAUGGCUGGAAAGUCUGGAAGAAUCUCUGCAUUAAAAGCAGAAGAUACAUUCAAACAAAAUAGUGGGGGUCUUUACUGAAGCGGGUGGCGGCUCUCUUCUUCCUGAGAUGCUUUGAAGCCUCUUCUUCACUCUUGUAACCUCCUGAUUUGGCACGAACGUGGCCAUUAUUUCGUACGGCAAGGUGAAAAUAAUUUUUAUUUCUUUCUCCAUCACUGUCCUUUCCCCACUCAGAUGAUAGAUUUGCCUGAGAGAAAAUAAUGGCCUGGCAGUUGGGAUGCAGAGAGUGAGCUGGCUGAGCAGGCGGGGGGGACGGGGGACGGGGACGACGACACGUCUCUGUACCUAUUAUGGCAAAAAUCGAUAAUGCUUUUUGUAAAUUGCCCCUCCCAGAGGAGUUGAACAAAUGCUGGAGAGAAAGGAAGCCAUCCUUCUGUGUGAAGGCGCCUCUGCGUUCGGACCAGGACAAUAAUUAUCAGUAGCCCUCUUCUUUUGGCUUGCUUUUAUUCUGAGGGCAGGCCAGGAAAGAGAAGGUCUUCCUUGCUCUUCUACUGCUUAUCUAAUUGCAGCAUCUGUGAGCGUAUCUAAAAUAGGUGACAACCACUGCAGGCAGUUUCCAAGGGGCGCCCUGCAAAUGGAAGCGGCUGGUGGUCCCAGAGGACAAUCAGAGCGCUCUGAUUAAUUGCUUUUGACAAAUGGCAUUUUGAUCUGAGACAGGCCAGGCCCUCCCCUCUUGCAGAAGCAAAACUUCUGCCUGUUGAAUGGGAAGUCUUUCGUCUUUCCAAACUAUAGAGGCAAAGGCUGAGUUUGGGUGAACACAGAAGCUACCAACAAGGUGAUCCUGCCCUCAAAGAGGGAUCACAUGCAAAGUACUUUGAAACAGCCACAGGAAAAAGCAAUAUAAAAAUGUUAUGAUUGAUACACAGCACAAAUGCAUUGGGUGCUUGCAGAAGGCAUGUGGUGAGAUCAGUGGGGUGGGGCUCAGCUUGUCAAUUCUGCAUCCAGCAAGGAUGUUGUCAGUCAGAUCCUGCAGUGUGACAGCAAGCUGUAGGGACCUGUAGACACCCAUUUGUCAGGCCGAAUUCAAAUGAGCAAGGAGUCAUCAAAAUAUGUGUGCUCAACAGAACUCUCUGAGUCUGGGGUUUUGCUCAGUUUUUUUCUGUCUGUUUCCUUGUUGUUCAUUUGGUAAAAGUUUCUGUUCACAUAGACCUGUACAGGGCUCUUAAAAAUAUUCAUACCUAAAUAACAAAAUGCAGCAUUUGUGAUACUGCUCUGUGUGUGGGUGGGUGUGGGGGCGGUGGCAAUGCUAUAUCACUGGUGGGAAGGUCUUCCUGUGGGAAAUUUGUGCUACCACAGCAAUUUCCUGGGUACAAGGACCUAUGGGAGAGGCAGUUCCCAUGGUUUCUGACAAGAUUAUUAGGACUCAAGAAAAAGAAGCACAUUUCCGCUGCCCCUCAAUUCUGGGCACUGUAGUUUUGAGCAGUUGCUAGGAAUUGUAACUCUGUGAGGGGUAAAUUGCAGUGCCUGGAAUUCUUUGAGGGAAAGAAUCUACUUCAAAUGUGCUUUAAAGGCAGAAUGUAUACACAGCCCGAAUGGCAGCAUCCUGAUCAUCUGGCUCAUCCUACCAGCAAGGCUGAGGAGCUGUCCACUAGGUUAGGGACCAAAGUGUUUGCGUUAGCAAGGGAACUGUCCAACUACUGAGAGCGGAGCAGUACGAGGUGUUGUAUCAGCAACUGCUAGGCACCAGUUUAGGAGCUUUAUAGCUCUCUGUCCUGUUUCUGGGGUGUUAGCAGGGCCUUGAUCCUGAGCACAUGUUGGCUCUGCCUCUGUCUUGAGUAGAAUGGAUACCUUAUCCUGUCAGACAGUACUUGACCUUUUGCUCUGGCCUUUCAGAUUCACUGGGUCACUGAUCUUGGAGAGUCUUAAUCUGGUGGAGUAAUAUUAAUGGUGGAUUGGAUUUCCUGAAUCUUCAGCUUCCUCAAACAUGGCAGCCCAAUGACUCCCCUUUAGCCCCAGAGGUACAGGGCUAGUGCAGGUAUCUGGACUGGUCCUGACAUGGCAGUGACAGGUCACAAGGCCAGUCACAAGGCCUCAUUGCCACUACCACCAGGGAAUUUUUGGAAUGGUGGUGGCCUUGUGAAGUUUGAAGUUGUGGUGGUUUCUUUGGGGUUAGGGAGCUCUCUUAGACCUUCCUGUUGUGCUCUCAAUGACAUCAAAAAGUGCAACAGAAUGUUAGUGGGGUGGGGUUUUUUGGGGGGGCAGGGAGAGACUUUAAUUCCCACCUGUGUCAAAUUAAGCCCAAAUUGCCUUGUGUGAAGUGAGCCCACAUUAAAUUUAGCUCUAGAGAUCUAACCUUGCCAGGCCUUUUGGCUACAAUUAUGGACUCAGUCUUAAACUGGACCCUUUGCUGGCCUUGUGGCCUCCUGCUCACCCAAUAGAAGUAUUAGUAAGGGCAAAAGAAGGAGGAGGUUGACAUGUAGCUUUAUUCACCUUCUCGACUGUUCUGGGGAAAGGGUGGGUGGCAGUGCAGCACUGAUUGGCUGGUUCCUGUGAUAUCACAAGCCUACCUUACCUGGGUGACUUUUGCACUUUUGAAGUUUGGAGUGAGAUGAGCACCGGCCAGGCAUUUAGGUCACUGGCUGCUGCCUCUGUAUUUCACAUGCAAAGAGAGGAGGAGGAGGAGGAGGAGGCUGCAUUCAGUACUAUGUAACAAAAGGGAAAAAAUGGUGACAACUGUUUUAUCUCUACAUGUGUAAUAUGCCAUCCUGGUGCCCUCUAAAUGUUUUGGAUGGCAACUCCUACCAGUACAGCACCAUCCUGGGUAGGGGACAACAGGUUGGUGGAGGCUGUGAUAUGCAGGCAGUAUUUGGAGGCAGCCUACAGGAACUACUAGGCAGAAGUUUUUGUACACGUGAUACUCUGCUCAAGCCUCAGAGAGCAACCCACUUCCCAGAUCCCUGCCUGCUUCUUCUGUGGAAGGAGAGCAAUUAACAAAAUUUGGGUCUGGUUUCUACUUAUGCUGCGUCUGUUUUCUAUGCUGGUACUGAAGUAAAAAGUGAUGAGGCUUCCCUAUGAAUAGCUGUGUUCUGCCUCCUCCUUCAAAAAGAGGGAUGGGCCUAAAGACCCAAAAUUAUUUGUUAAAACCAAUAAUCAUCACGUCAUCUUAAUGCAUGCUGACCAAGUUUGAGAUUUAUUUUAAGAAGAAAAGAAGGGGAAAAUACUUUUAGAAUCCAUUGAUAUGGCUUGUGUGUGCUGCCAGCUUUAAAUAGCUAAUCAGCGGAUCCCGCUGGAGCCCAUAAAAGAAGGUAAUUGUAGGCGGUAGGUAGAAGUCUGGCACCCCAGCGUGCCACAGGUCAGGAAAGGGCAGCAAGGAAGGCAACAUCCAUCACGCCAAGGGCGGCAUUGGCAGCGGCAGCCAGGCCUUUGCUCGCUAUGGGCUUCCGCCAGCGGCCGUCAUCCGUCGGAGGGGAGGAAAGCCUCUGAAACAAGGCUGUGAAUUGGUUUUCAUGCUUGCAUUGACAGAUUGGGAAAGCAGUUUGUUCUACCAAAUUUAACAAUGAUAUAUCAUUAUCACAACUUUGGGGGAAAUCUAUAAAAUCAAUAAGUUUGUAGCCUGAACAGGAUUUGUAUCGCUUGCUUGCUGUGCUGGUGUCAGGCGCGGGCAUAUGGAUUGAGUCACAGCCUGAGAUCAAUGGAAUUUGUGGACAGUGAGCUCAAUAACAAGCCCUUCUGAAAAGAAAUAGAUGUAAAAAGCAAAUUUACUAGAGUAUAAAAAAAAGAGAGAGAGAGAAGCUAAUAUCUUUUCCGUGCCUGGCUGUAAAGUGCGAUGUGGCUGCCGUCAGCUGCUGCCGGCGCUCUGCAAGGCGGCUUGGGGAUGUGCCUGCAAUGCUGAGCAAGGCAGGCUGCCGCCAGGGCCUCCUCCUCCUCCUCUGUGGGUGGAUUGGGGUCUUUCUCUUUGCAGAGCUUGGACUCGGAAGGAAGCCAAGGAGGGCCCAGGUGGAGGAGGGGGCGAUCGCCCUCCGCAUUGUAAACUGAAUAAAGGCUAAAAACAGUCAGUGUGUCUGCUGGGGAAAGACCAUCGCGGCUUUAUUUACUGUGCGCUGGCAGGGCUUGCUAAUGGAGCAAAAUAAAAAGGCAUAAUUAAAUAGUUUAAUGAAUUCGCAGUUCUUUUGUUUGUGCAGGACCGGGAAUGCGUGUUCCAGAAGGCCUCACAAAGAGCCUGGCUGGUAGUGAGUUAAAAGUAGGAAGUGGAGCCUUUGAAGGCAUUUUUAUACUUCAUUAUCCCAGCAUGUAAAAUGACUUGUACUAAACGAUGGAGGGUUCCCCGCCUCCCACUCGCCCUCUUUCUUUCUCUUCUUUCUUUAAACAAAGGAGAACAUCAGGGGGGCUGGGACAGAGUUUCCCUUCAGUGUCCAGCCGCCCACAGAUCAGCUUCCCAGCAAGCUGGUGGGUCUCUGCCACUGCUCCAGCAAUGCUAGGCUUUGGGGGGCUGCUGUGAGCAUGAGGGCCACCUCAGAGCCCCAGAGAGCUUGCAGGGGGAGCACGGCCUGCCUACCUCUUUAAUAAUAAUAAAAAAGGCUUCUCUCUCCACCCCCAUGCCCCAUUUCCUGUAAGCAGAGGGUGGCGGGCAACGGCUUCUGUUUUUUUCUUGAAGAGGUGUACUCCUUGCCAUGCCUUGAGCAAAGGUGGUAGAAGAGGGGGUUAUUCAUGGCAUCUUUUGAUCUCUGGGGCGUCAAGUGAUUAUAUGCACAUGUGAGUGUGUAAAGAUUUCAGCAGAAGCAAACUCCAUUUCAGAUUUGGAUUGGGGAUACAUUUUACCACUAGUCACAGUGAAUGAUGCUUAGUCAGAAAGGCCAUGUUAAGAACGUCAGAAGAGUCCUGAGCAGCUGAAUCAGGCCCAAAGGGGCACAUCUAGUCCUGUAUCCUCUUCUCACACUGGCCAGCCAGAUGCCUCCAUUGGGAAGCCCCCAAACCAGGGCAGGGGCACAGCAGUUGUGAAAUAAGGGCAUCCUGUGUGUCCUUUAGACCCAGUGCCCUUGUUCUGCUCCUGAAUAUCCCAUUUUCUGUUGCGCUGGCAGGGAGGGCUUGUGGUUUCACAGGAGCAGCACCGAAGAGUAAUUGAGUGAAAGGGCUGCUUGUUCAUCCACCUGUGCCUACUUGCAGCCUUUGAUUCUACCCAGAUGAGCCAAAGUCUGCAAAGCAAAUCACUCUCUGCCCAUGACUCAAGCAAGUGAGCCAAGUUACAUUCUGCAAGAAUGAUGCAGAAGAUGCUCUCCCAGUUUCAGAGGCAAGGUUUGACAGAUCAACUGCAUGAGCCAAAUCUGUUAAGAGCUGUGCCUUAGCAGAAAAGUGUGUGUUUUGCCCUAACCCAGGAACCCUGGGAUCAGGCUGGCCUUGUUUUGCAGGGCAAUGGAGGAGCCUGGCCCACAGAGGCAGCUGCCAGCAGCAGGGGACUCCCCCUUGGGGCCCGGCAGGCCAGCCAGCGGGUCGAGUGCCAUUUACAAAGCCGCCUCUAUUUCUUUACAGCUUGCUGUGGCCUAUAAACAACACUAACUGUUUGUUUCUUGUUAAAAUUUACCUCAUAAACCAAUUUUACUGUGUGAGUUCAAGCCAAUAAUUGUUUAAUCCUGCUUUUCUCAUAUCCAUAAUACAUUGACUAUAAACCUGAGGUUUCCACUUUAUAGAAUUUUCCCUUUGCUCUUUGGUGCAAGAUAUAGAGCCAGGCAGGCGUGUUGGCCAGAAUGUUAUGCAGAGGGGGGCAAAGGGGGGCUGGAGGAGGCUGGCACUCAGGAGCAGCUGGGGGGGGGGAGGAGAAGGAGGAGGCUAUCCUAAGGACCCACCAGCCAUAGGCUUCUUUGCUCCUGCAUCACUUUCUACCGCCACUGCUGCCACCUGGUAGCACAAAGAAGAGGCAAACCUGGGGAGGUGGCAAUUGGCACACACCUUUGAGGGCCACCUGGUAAUUUGCUGCCAAUGUGGACCGAAGCUCUCUGUCAUGGUGUGGGGCAGUGAAAUGCUGAGGAAGUGACUCUUUACAUCAAGUAGAGAGAGACAGAAAAUUGAUUUCUCUCUCUUUUGAGGUGGUGAGAUGUAGACUUAGUGUGACUUUGGAGGGACAAGUCUCAUCCAGUCUUCUAAAAAAAAAGAUAUCUACUUCUGUGCUCAAAGGAAGCUUCCUCCCCUGCCCCACCCCACACUGCACUCUAGCACAGAUACAUGCAAUACUCCUCCUGCACGGUGCUUUAAAGGAACCGUUGCAUUUACUCAGGUUCCCGCUAAAUGGGUAAUGGGCAAGGGUUGCUGCGGGAGGACCAUUCUGAGAGAGGGAGAGAGAGAAGGGGAGGGAGAGGAGAUAUGUACCACUGAACCCUGGAGCAGGGAGUGCACAGCUUGCCGAAACCUUUUCCAGAAUUGUUAAAGCCAGUGUUUCUGAAAUAUAUGUUGCCAUUUUUAUAUUUGGCUUUUGUUUUAAAGGGAGGUAGCAUACGCUAUCCUGCAGUUUUAUGGGGAAAGGAGGAGACCCUGUUUCUAAAGAACAAUGUAAAAUAAAAGUGAAACAAGUUGCUGUGAGGGUGACAUCGCAGGCACAGGCCAAUAGGUGCCUGCAGCAUUUGCGCAAUUGCACUGCAGACUAUUGUGCUGCUUGGCACAGUGGGGAGUGCUUAAGCCUAAGUUCACACAGGUUGCUACCAGAUGGGAAAGACACAUCAAAAAACAAAGAGUGAAGAAUGUCAUUUUUGUGGUGGAAAUUGCAGAUCCAGAAAUAUGUUAUUCUAUGGUGACACUGCCUUAUGACUCCCAUUCAGUGCUAUGGAAGGGGCUGUAGCUCAGUGUGGCAUCUGCUUUGCAUGCAUGCUGGGCUCAAUCCCAGGCAUCUUCCAUUAAAAGGAUCUCUGGUGACAGAUGGACUGUGAAGGACCUCUCUCAGCCUGAGCCCUGGACAUUGUAGACAGUUCUGAACUAGACAGGCCAGUGGUCUAGGACACUGGUAUUCAACUGGUGGUUUAGGACCCACCAGUGGGUUGUGGUCUGAUGCAAGGCAGGUCACAACAGGAACACUACCCACCAUGCAAGUGUACGAUAAAAGAUUAAGAAAUGGUUCCCCAAAUACAAGUUUGGGUUAAAAGUGGGUCCUGGGUUUGACAAGAUUGAAGGCUACUGGUCUAGGAGGAGAAAAGGCUGCCAGCUUCAUACAUUCUUAAGAAAUCCCUCACCUCUGAUGCAGGUUUCCAAUGGAAGCCUGUGGAGCUACUCUGAUCACGUAUUCUAAUUACCUGGAUUUAUUCAAAUCACAUUCCUACAGAUAUAAUAAGACAAAACAAGCCAACAUGAAUGUGCAUGGUGAUGCUUCACAUCUGCCAUAUUUCAAGACUAAAUAGUAAAUUGAAAUUGUGUUGUCCUCAUAUUCUGCUUAUUUACGUCAUUGUUUGUUUUGAUUUAUAAUCUGCUUCCAUCCACGAGGGCUGUGGGAAGGUGACAGCCUUAAUGAGCACUGAAUAUGACAAAAGAAGGCAUCAAUAUACAAAUGAGCACCACAAAAUAGUUUAUUAUGUAGAUUUAAAAGAUAAAAUAUGCUUAUCAAAUGGCAUUAGUAAACUGCUCAGAUACAAGUGUACUGCUUUAUCUCCAUGCUUGCUCAAAUGCUCUAAACUGGAUAAUCUUGCUUUACUAGUCUUAAUGGACAAGGGCUGUGUUAAUUAGCUGUGGCUAGUUGGCCACCUCAUGAGAAGAGAAGACUCUCUGGAAAAGACCCUGAUGUUGGGAAAGAUGGAGGGCACAAGGAGAAGGGGACGACAGAGAAUGAGAUGGUUGGAUGGUGUUCUUGAAGCCACCAGCAUGAGUUUGAUCAAACUGCGGGAGGCAGUGGAGGACAGAAGUGCCUGGCGUGCUCUGGUCCAUGGGGUCACGAAGAGUCGGACACGACUAAACGACUAAACAACAACAACAAAGUUAGCCUCCCAAGGGCCACCUGAGCUCUUGGAGGUGGGUCUAUCCAGGCACUGGAUUUGAUUUGACUUUGAUAUGAUUUAUUAUAUUUCUAUGCCACUUUUCAUUCAAAUGAACCCCAAAGCAGCUUACAAACAAUAAAUAAUUAUAAUAUGAAAGAACAUAAUAGAACAUCACAAAUACAGCAUAAAACUUAAAGAAUAAUUAACAAAUCAUCAGCGAAAACAAUUACAAAACUGUUAACAAAGCAACAACUAAAAAAUAAGCUAAACAUCACAAUUAAAGCAAAAGUCCUUUUAUAUGAAGCUCAAGUCACCAUGUCAGCUUUCCCAAGAUGUAUGUAGCUCAUCUCGGUCAGUCACCAGCAACAUUAUUUGGGAAACCUUCAGCAAGACAAUUGUAGGGUAAGAGCAAGAGGAAACCCUCUGAAGGCUGAGAGGCCAGCAGGGCAGUUGACCAAUGGAGCAUACUGAUCCCUGUCUACACAGAUGUGGCAGGUGCCAGAGUGUGGCGUAGACUGACUCUACCACUCGCGAGACAGAGAGUCUAUCAGACGAUGCUUCCCUUAGCCUUGGCCAUGCUUGACUUCAUUUGCUUUGGAACUGGGCAGUGGAGGAGUCAGCUUGGGGCUACUUUAAUUCCAGGAGAACAUUGAAGUAGCUGAUGAAAAUGGUUGGCACCCUCUGGGAGAUUUAAUUGAAGGGUGGCAUAAAAAUACUUAUUGUAAGAAUAAUGCAAGGAAGCAUUUUAUGCAUACAUUUAAAUCCUGCUGAUGUCUCACUCCUAAGCAGCAAACGAAGGCAAAGGGGAAACCAGAGCCGUCUGGAUAAUUCCAGGGGAGGGAGAGUGGCUGAAAGCAGCUCCUCGUUGUAGGAAAAAGAGGUGCUUUUUGCCAUCCCUCUCUCUCUGAUGAGGGGUCUUUUGCUCCUUUUCAAGGUCCUAAGGGCAAAUAGGACUGCCCCCGGGGGGGGGGGGAGAAGCACAGGUGACCCAAAGUCCCCUCCCUUUUCUGCUUUCACAUCUGAUGUGGAUAUGUUUGUUUGGAACUCCAGUCGGGCACCUGCCGUGAGCCUCCCGAGGACCAUAAAUCUCAGUAAUAAUCAUGAAAUGAUCCAGGUGGGUGCAAGGUCUCCUCUGCUUUCCAUAAGCAACCCCCCUGCAUUAUUUUGGGAAAUAGAGAGCCCCUCUUCUCUUUCCUCUCUGCUCACCCUGACCAUGCCACACUCUGUGCCAUGUUAUUAAAUUAUACCCCUUGUUUAAGAGAGGACAGCGCCUUUUAAUGAGUGCUUUAAUGUUGGCACUGCCUGUCGCUGUCUGGGGAGCCCCUAUUCUUUUCUUCCUAAUGAGGAGCACCUCAUUUGCACUGUUUCUAGAUUUAUGGAGGGACAGAAAACCCUCCAAUUUAUUACAUCUUAAAUGAACUGCUCCCAAAGCAAAAACAAAGAGGCAGUAAACUCUCCUCUCUGCGCUUUGUGGUGAGGUUUUUUAUUGAACUGUGUAGCUGCGUUCUGACUACUCUCUCAACUAGGAAGAGGAAGCUGGGGCCAUAAUUAUCUUUGGAGAACCCCACUUCCCAAUAACCCUUCUGGCCCUGUCCUCUUUGGGCUAUUGAACCUGUCACUUAGGAUAUUUUAUGGCAUGUGUGCGAGGGCGGUGGUGGGGUUUUUUUUUAAUUUGCCUAGAAGGAAAAGAGUCCUUUUCAUCUGAUACUAGAUUUGUGUGAGGGAAAAGCCAGUGAAUUUCUUGUCAUUUCCCCCCCUUUAAGCACCAUCUUUUGGGUAGGCUUUGGCCCUUUCUUUUUGUAUCCUUUUUCUACUUCAUUCUCCUUUGCUUUGGGGUACCUUCUUCCUUAAUUUUUACUAUUAGUUCUACCCUGACUUUCUAAACUGUAGUCAAGGAAGGGGUUGGCUUACAGUUGUAAAAGCAACUGAAAACAAUGCCACACCCAUACCUACAAGAAACCCAACAGGAUCUAUAAAUUGUAAAAACCGUAGCAAAAGCAAAAUGGCCACUAAAAACAACCCCCUAGGAGAAGAAGCCUGCAAAAACUAAGCUGGCUUUGCUGACCAUCAUCCAGUGAUCAGUGAAGAGGCCUGGGGGAGCUUGAGAAUGCCCUGGCCCAAAAAGUCUGGGCACUUGUCCACCCACCCCUCAUACAGUGGAGGAACAUGGACAAGGGCAGCUUCAUGAGGUGACAUUUUUAGGACAUGUUUGCCUCAUCCCAGGGCCAGUUUCCAAUCUGCACUGGCUCUGCUCCCAGGUGGCUUCAGUCCAGCACCAUGUCCCCCACGCCAACCUGCUUGUGUCUGCUCUGUGGUAGGUCCUGGACACAACAGCUGGCAACUACACUGCUUCUUCUUCUGUGAUAUAGGAACAGAGGAAGCUGCCUUAUACUGAGCCAGAUUCCUGGUCUAUCUUGGGUUUUUUUUAGCAUGGCUUUCGACACUUGAGGUGUAUAUUUUUAGGACCUGCCUUAUUUUUAUGCUUUUAAGUUGUUUUUAAUUGUUUUCAAUAUUGUGUUUUAAUGUUGUAACCUGCCCUGGAACCUCAUACUCAUCUACCUGGAGAUGCCAACUGGGGAUUGAACCUGAAACCUACUGCAUGCAAAGCUACAGUCUCUCCUCUCUCUCUAGCAUUUUAAGCAGGCAUCUCUGGGUAGGCCCAGCUAUCCCACAAUGCCUGUAGGCCAGAUCAAUUGUGGUGCCCUACGGCAGUGGAAAUCUGUGUGGGUGGCCAGAACUGGUGCUGGGAUGAACAAUGCAAAGCCCUUCCUAUCUUUCCUGAGCAUUCCUUGAGUGGCGUUCAAGGUCCCACAGAAUCUCCCAUCCCACAAAUGUCUGCUUGGUUUUAUUCUCUUGUUUAUAGUGGGGGGCAAAGAUAAUUUGUGUGCACGCAUGUACAUUUUAUUGUCCGUUCUAAAAGCCAUGUAAAUUAUUGCAGAUAAAUUCCACUUACAAAUAAUUUUUCACCUCUAAUAUUUUUUCCAUAAAUCCUAAAACCUCUAUAUAAAAUCUCUGUUUGGGUUGAAAGAAAAGAAAUUCCCACAUACCAAGUCUCCUUUUUUUUACACUUCAGAAUGUUUGCAAUAUCUGCAAUUUUAUCUUUUGAAUAAUAGUAAUAAUAAUAAUUACCUCUUAUAUUAAAUUGUAAGACGACAGGAUUCAGGAUUAGAUCCCACCAUAUUAUUCUAGUGAAGGGAAUUAUGACAGGGGUCAUUUUUUAGAAUUAUGGAGGAGGGCAAAAGGUCCUGGACAGCAUUAGAUGGAAAGGCAUUUAUAAUUAAAGUAUAAUUUAGGCCUAUGAUUUAUAGUUUUCUCAUUGAGAAGCCUGGCGCUGCAGAGAGAACAGACUGUAUAUUCUCCAGGUAUUUUCAAGUAGCAAAACCACUCCAAAUUUCUUGUUUGCUGCUCUAGGCUCCUGUGGGAAGAAGGGCAAGAUGUAAAUUCAACAACAACAAUAAAUGCGAAUGUUCUGCCAGUAUUUCCAUCAAGCAGCCUUCAGCCAGGUGGCAGUUAAAUUCCUAGCUCCUCCAGACACCCUGUUGAUUCAUCUUUCAUCCUGAUUUGCUUGUACAAUACUUACUUAGUGGUUAGGGACUGAUGUUUAUUUUGUCUAAUUUGUUUGCAGGGAGGUUGUUCAUCAGUGAGCAUCCAUCCUGAUUUGCUUGCGGGAUGUCAACACAUUUUCUAGUGAAUUAUUUAUCCAACCCCCUACUUCUCAGUUCUUUUCCCCAUCACUUUCCUAACUGCAAAAAGCCUGCUUUGAUUUAAAGUUGAUUUGUUGUGCUAGGGCAACAGAGCACUCUAAUAAACUUUAAUUGCAGAAACCUUAAGUUCCGCUACGCACUUGAAUCCCUCCUGCAAAAUAGCAACAUUCCGAAGGUGUCUCUCCCCCCCCCCCUGCCAGCAUGCAAGGGCUGUAGCUAAGGGGCUGCUUAAAACACUGCUUUGUUUUAAAAUGGUCUCUAAAGUGCUCAGAGGUGCUUAAAGCUCGGGAAAAGUGAUACUGGAGCUGCAUCUAGGGAGAUUCAGGACAGACUAAAAGAAGUACUUCUUCAAACCACACACAGUUAAUCUAUAGAACUCACUGCCACAAGACGGAGUGAUGUCCACCAACUUAAACCAUUUUAAAAGUGUAUGAGACAGAUUCUCCUUCUUGUUCAGACUGAUAACUACUAGGCUGCAUCCUAUUUGACAGCUUCUUCCUUCUCUUUCUCACACUUCUCUCUCUUACCUCAUGAUGAGAGGUCCUAUUUAACUAUCCUCUGAAAGAACAAAGGAGCAAGCAUGGCUGCCUUGUUCUUCUCAUUACUAGUUGGGGCUAGAACUCUAUCCAAGUUAUGUACGUCGUACAAUUAACAAGAAGUUUAUUAUUUUCUUGUGUACAAGCAUCUUUCUCUCUAUGUGUGUGUGAUUGCAACAAGAAGGGUCUGCUCUCUAACCAAGGUUCACUAGCUUAAAUGCUGCUCACUCUGCAUACCAAACAGGGCUUCAAUAGGUAAUUGACCCUGUUCUCCCAUUAGACAGCACUUUAGCAAUUGUUAAAAAGAAACAUGGAAGCUUACGUUUCCACAAAGAAUAAAGCAUACACGUGACCACUCCAUUGCAUCUGGCCUUCCCCCUUCUCUCUAACAAUAAUGAUGAAUUAAUUGCUGCAAAUAGAAAUUUUGAGCCCCUCCAAAGGCUACAUGCCUAUGUCCCUUUCCUGUGGGGUGGGUGGCUGGAGGCAGCUCCCCCCCACCUCUCCACUUCUCUCUGUGGCCCCUUGGAGCCUGCAUGUGUGAGGCCAAUGUUAAGCAAGGGCUGGAUCUGUUUUAUUAUGCCUUGCACAGCAUGGUGAAUGGAGCAUUUAGAGAAACCCGAGAGGGAUGAGAGGCAGGCAGGUUCUUCCGCAGAAGAGCCUUUGGCGGCCGGCUCUGCUAACGCUGCAUUCACAGACCAGGAGGGCUUGUUGCUUGAGUGCACUUACUUUAGUUCCGCCUCUCGUCCAACUCCGGGAACUUGAACUUGUCAUUAUCAGACACGGAAGGUCAAUGCAUUAAGCCACUGUGUGUUGCGCCUUUCACGCAGCCUCUCUUCCCUCUUGCUGUUUAUAGAAGGCUGUGGACAGUGUGAUACAGUUGCACUUGUCAUUUUUGGGUCUGGCUUUGCGCUGGGGGCUGGCUUGGAGACACUUAGUGAUCCUGCACAAAGACAGACGCCUGCAGAAAAACUAAUCGGAAGUGAGUCUUCUAUAAAUAAUAAACAACAAAUAGGUUCCAUUUAGUCAGAUUAACCCCCAAAUAGGUCGUGGGCAUUGUUUUCGAUGCCAACACAACAACCUAGCGAAGUCCCCAGGCACAGAAGUUGAUGAGCCUGUGCGGAUUUUCUGGACAUGGGACCCCAAAACAGACCAUGCCUAGAUUUUAUGACUUGAAAUAUUUAUAGUUUGUCUUUUGAGAUGCUGUUUUAACAUGUUGUUUAUUAUUAAGCAAUGUGGUCAAGAACUGUUUGCAACAGAAUAAGCACCUCUUAAUUUGUUCUGAUGGAACUGCACGGCAGUUGAAGGUGAUAUUGAAACUUGCGCCAUCAUCAAAAGCAGGGUGGUUGCAAUUUUAGAAUAUGUUCUCUUGAUAUACUGUGCUUUUACUAACUUGAAAGCCUUUCAAGUAACCCCAGAGACUAACUUUCUGGAAUACAACAGAACAAAUUCCAUGCUUGGGAGUAUUAGAAAAGGGGCUGAAAUGCUAGUCUCAGGGUGGCUUACUCAGGGCGGCCUAACCUGUGUGAGCACUUUGGGUAUCUCAAAAAGGAUAUCACAUAACUGGGAAAGGUGCAGAAAAGGUGCAGAAAACCUCCCCUAAGAGGAAAGGCUGAAACAUUUGGAGCUUUUUAAUUUGGGGGAGGAAGUGAAAAGAAGUUGUCUGCAAGGUUUAUAAAAUUCUUCAAGGUGAGGAGUCAGUAGAACAGAGAAAAGCUCCCCCCCUCUUUUGACACUAGAACUCAGAGUUAUACAGUGAAGUGGAUGGGCAAUAGAUUCAGAACAGACAAAAAUAAUUUAGCUAUUUCUUCACACAGUGCAUGAUUGAUUUUGGGAAUUCACAGCCACUGGAUAGCUGAAUGGAGCCUUCAUAUUGAGAAACAGUCUACCUCUGAAUUUGCAUUGCUUGGAAGAAAACAGCAAGGGAUAAGUGAUGCCUUCAUGCUCUGCUUGCAGGCUCUGUUGGUCUGUCCUCUUCUUAGAGCCAUAGAAUUGUAGAGUUGGGGACUGCAAGGCUCAUCUAGUCUCAUCCCCCAGCAAUGCAGGAAUCCCUGACUGAUGGCCAUCCAAUCUCUGCUUAAGAACCUCCAAUGAAGGAGAGUCCACUACCUUCCAAGGGAGUCUGUUCCACUGUCAAACAGCUCUUAUAAGAAAGUUCUUCCUCAUGUUUGGUUGGAAUCUCAUUUCUUGAAGCCAUUGGUUCGGGUCCUACCCUCUGGAGCAGCAGAAAACAAGCUUGCUCCAUGUUCCAUGUGACAACCCUUUAGAUUUUUGAAGAUGGUUAUCAUAUCUUUAAGAAAGAAAUUGAUUAAUUGGAACAUGUGUACAGGAGGGCAACUAAGAUGAUCAAGGGUCAGAUGAUCAAGGGUCUAGAAGGAACAGAAGGUCUAGAAGCCUUAUGGGGUACACUUGAAGGAACUUGGUAUGUUUAGUCUGGAAAAGAGGAGACAGAGAGGAGAUAUGAUAGCCAUCUUCAAAUAUCUCAAGGAGAGGUUGGUGUAGGAAGUACUCAGAUGGUGGUGGAGGAUGGUGAGGGAUGGGGGGGGUGUCAAUGCACAUGAAUCAGAGCAGCAGGACUCAUCACCGGAGCCAGAGGGGCCCCUGUCUCCACAAACGCUCUGAGGCGUAGGAAGCAGCAGGCAGAGUACUCCAGGAGGCUGAGGUAGGCAAGCGCCCACAGCCCAGCUCACUAGACUAGAUGACUAGGUGGGGCUUGCUGUCUCUGGGAGAAAGUGUGUGGUUCCUCAGCUGGAGUAGGCUUGGGACAGUUGAGGGUCACAUGCCUCAUCAAGCCCAGAUGCUGCAAUCAGCCUGCAAAGUAUAAAAGGGCAGCAGAGCUGAGGUGCUGUGUCUGCUCAUGUUGCUGGGCCUCACUUUGGAUGCUCCAGGACCAUGCUGCAGUUUGGACUUUGGACAUGUGGCUUGAUCCCAGAUUGGGGACUUGACAUACUGACUUGCUGCCAGGUAGGCCAAGAGUUAAGGACAGCUGUUUCGGGGGGGGUGCACCUUAACCUUAGCAGGUGACAGAACCUUGAUCUCUGGCUAGCCCCCUGGUGGCUCUUCACCACUGUUGUUCUUUCCUUCCCCACUUUAGUAAGGGAUUAGUUGAUUGUAGAGGAUCUACUACUGCUGUUUACCUUUGAUGUGUCUUUUCCCUUUGCUUGCUGGUUCCUUUUUUAGAAAGAGGUUUUCAAGUGGUCCUUCAUUUGUGAUUGUGUGUUAAAAUUUUAGUAUAAAAACCUUUGGAAGCAUGUGUGCCAGAGUAGGGGUGGGGGAAGCCCCCUACAUAAAAUAUGAUGUGACCACAUUGAUUGCUGCUUUCGUUAUUUAUCACCAUCAUCAUUACCAUAAUCAUUAUUCAAAGGAAACAUGGGGAAAGGCUUGGCUUAAAGCUGUCAAUGUCUUUGUCUCGUUUUGCACUGCCCAAGAAAUCUUAGGAAGGCAGCAGCAGCCCAGAUCACCUGCAACUUGGUGAAGGGGAGGGGUAGCUGCACAAAAGGCUGCAGAAAAAAGGGUCUCUCCUUUCAACAUUUCAUUUUCUGGACUGAUUUUGUGGGUCGGCUGUAGCAAGUUGCAAAUGAUGUAUGAAAUGAAAAAUUCCUGCCCAACGCACACGGUGAAUCUGGGCCACCCCUGGGCUAUUCGUUUUAAUAUUUCCUGAGAUGCAGAACCUCCCCCUUCCCAUUUUUCUUUCCAAAUUCCAGUGUUCCUUAUCAGCGGCUGCCAUUUUCCUGCUGCUGCAGCCUCUUCCUCUUCCUCCUCCUCCUCCUCCUCACAAAGGAGCAGAGCUCUUUAAACCACCUUUGCGGGAAAUCUCUCUGAAGCCUGACUUCUGUUUCUGUUGCUUUCAUUUGUUAACCUCCCUCUCACGAGAAAGUGUCACAAUUAGGAUGCACACAACAUAAUGUACAAUUGUCAUCUUGAAUUAAUUUCACUGCUGUGCCCUUUACUGCUGUCCGUCUGAUGUGCUUUGUGGACAACGGUGAAUUCUGACUGAUCUCUGUGAGCUGCAGGCCUUUGACCAAACGUGUAUGUUGACUGUGUGGCUUGUGAAGUGCUUUGUUUGAAAGAAGCAACACCUGACAUAGUUCACUCUCUGGGCAGUUUGCCCCUCACUUUGCCUUGCCACCUGUCCCAGCUUCUGAAAACUGUGUGAGUGGUCCCACAGUUACAUUAAAUGUAUCGUCCAUCAUGAACAUGAGUGUGCCUUGAAAAUGCUGCACAGCCGUUUCUCAUCAUACCAAAAUAUGCACACAUCCACUCAUGCAAACCUCUCUGUGGGUGACGGCGGUUGGUGGCCCAGGCGGCCCAAAGCAGCCUGAGCUGUUUAGAGGGGACACCAUUGUCUGCUCUGUGCUUUUAAUCUAGCCAUAAUAAAAGUGGUGCGAUUAUGCUCUUCCCAGUUUCCAGGCUUAGGAUGCAAAGAUUCCCACCCAUCUUUUGCAUCCUUUGCCUUUCUGCUUGAUGCAAGAAUGUCAAAUGUUCUCCUUGAAGAGAACAAGCAAAAUGGGAUGGGCAGAAGAGUGGUGUGCAGAAACACCUUCCCCCACCCCUGCUAAAAAAAACCCAAAUCUCUGGGCUGCAAGUGGGUUUCUGUGUGAUUUAUGAUCCAUAAGUGGAUCGGUCUUAUUAAAAUCCGCAGGAGCCUUUUGUUCAUUUUGUAGGUCUCUGGGCCAGGCACCACUCCUGUCUGUAGCAGGCCUGGUCUGCACAACAGCGUCCUCCCAGUGAGGUUUCGGGUGUUUGUUAAAUAACACUGUGGUGGAAAGCAAUUAAUUAUGCUGCUGAAAUGCAAGGAUCAUUGGCAACUGUAGCAGAUUUCUGCGUAUUAGUUUUGCUAGGCUAAUUCCCUUUUGAGGGGAAGUUAGGAGGGCAGGAGAAAAGCUAUGGGGGGGGGGGAAUUAUGUACCCUUGUUGUUCGAUGCUGUUUACCUGGAUAGGAUCUCUUCCCGUUUAGUGAUGCUGGAAUCUUUCAGUGCUGUAAGAAGUUAUUUGUAAGCUGAAUUGCUUUUCUCUUUGGAGAAUGGCAGAUUAAAAAUGGGGAGCACUGCUUCUAAGCACCCUGUGAGCCUUGGAUGAAGGGUGGUAUAGAAAUUUAAUUAGUAAAAUAGCUCAACAACUUUGGGCGAUCUCUUAAAAAAGGCUCCUCCCCAGGCGCUAGUGGGGGUCGCUGCACCGUUGACCCAGCCCAGAGUCAAGAAAUUCUGGCACUGGCCUAUUUCUAGGAGGGAGUUCCUGAGCAACCUCAGGCAGGAUAUUGCAUAUUUCUGUGUUGUAUUCUUUUCCCUGUCUACCACACUAAGCUUGACUCGUGAGGGUGAGCCUCCUCCACCACAGUAGGACUUCCGCCUCCCUCUCCUGGUGCCCAAGUGGCAAGAAAACCCUGGGUAUGGGGCUGUCCAUGAGCCCCUUUCUACAGAGCUGCCUUUGGAUUUUUGCCUUGAAUGGGAAGCAACAUGAAAUCGUUCUCUUUCAGUGCUGCUUUGUUUUUGACCCCUUCUGCGAAUUCUCAGAGGAAAGCAACAUAUUCCCAUCUUUUAUAGUAAUCAAAUUUAUCUGGCAUCUCUCGGCCUGUUGAAUUACUUAUGCUACAGUUGGCCAGCCUCGGGAAGGCUUUGGCUGGUUUAUUUAUUUAUUGUUCUAAAGUGAGGGUUUUUGACAUGAGGUCCCCACUCCUUCCUUGGGGAGUUCAGGGGGAAAAUGGAAAGUGGUUUCUGCCAUCACUGAAUGGAGGCCUGUUUUUGUAAAUGCAAAAGACAUUUGGCUCUGGAGAGGGAAGCCAAAGCUUCCAGAUCAUAUCCAUGCAGCAGGACGGCUCCCCAAAUGGUCUCAGCUUUUUCCAGAAAAAUGCCUGCGAAACAGAUGUUGUUGCUGUUUAAUUGCAGAGACAGAGAAAUGCCCAUGAAAAGGAGCUGCACAUCUUCUCCACUGGCCCUCGGGGCCUAAGGCAUUUUAAAGGCGUAGUCAAACCACUCCUAAUGCUUCUUUCUGUCAGCUAGUUUCCUCAUACAGGAGGACCACAGAGUUUGGGUGACAGGAAUUAUAAGCAGAGGACAUGCACAACACAGGUAGCUCUUGCUCAUAAUUUUUUAGCUGCGUGUUGAUGUGUUUGGGGCGCUGCCCAUAUAUAGCCAAGAGGACUUAUGGAGAGAAAACAAGAGACAGGGUAAGAUCUUGCAUUCCCUUGCUUGGUGGAACCUCCAGUUUCAAAGGCAGUCUACCACUGAAUGCAGUUGCCAAGGAGAAGCAAUGGGAAAGGGCUGUGACCUUCAUGUCCUGCUUGUGGGCUUCCUGGAGGCAUCUGGCUAGCCACUUUGAGAAGGAUGCUGGGCCCACCUUUUUGGUCUGGUCAGUCAGGGCUCUUGUGUUCUUAUGCUCCCUUCUCUGCCUGUCCUGCCUUUAUCCAAUACUUGCAUCCUGUUAAGAGGUCCAGUGUGUGGGCCCUUUCCCCACCUCCAGGAUCCACCACUUCAUGCAAGAACUGAACCAAAUACAAGCCAAAGAAGGUUCUUCUCAAAUCCCAGAAGGGGACAGGAAUUGACCUUUGUGGACUGCAGGGUUAUUCAAAAUUUUAUGCCUCCAGCUUCCCUGCCAGGCCCAGACCUGCGCAAGCCUUAGUGGUGUGAGAUGGGCCCCCUUUGGUCAGAUCCAGCUUCAGGGUUCUCCUUGUGUUCUUAGGCUUCCAGACAGGGGUCCUUCCCUCCCAGCUCCACCUGUAGAAGCUGAGGACUGAACCCGGGACUUUUGCAUUCAAAGCAGAUGCUCUACCCACCCAGCAAUAUUCUCCCCCCCCAAUGACUUAUCAUAAUAAAACUAUGGCUCUUUUUGUGGUAGGUCUUAAAUCUGGGGCGAAAGUUCAAAGUCUAAUGUUGGCCAUAAUGAUAAAUGCUGACAGCUGAACAGCUGCUGUGGAAGGCUUGGCCAGAUUUGACUCUACGGAGACAAAAAUAGUGUCUCCAUUUAUUUAUUUAUUUUUAAUGAGACCUUUAUGUGAGAUUCUCAUCAAACAGCAUGCAUCUUAUGGAUUUACAAACAGAAAUUUGAUUCUCGGUUCAUUGGUGUGGGUGGUGUGUGCCUUCAAAGAUGACUUGUUCUUACAGUCCCACUUGCCUUUGGUCUUACAUAAGAGGGUUCCAGCUGAAAUGUUUUUGCCUGGAGUUCCUCUCCAGAACUAGGAUCAGGUAGACCUGAGUUUGUCAGAGAACAGCCUCUUGGCUUCCUCCCAGAUGUAACAUCUCCACCAGAGAGAGACAUGCUGCCUGGAGAAGCUGAGCAUAGCAGGUGGCCUAAUAAGCUGGCAAAGGUCUGUCUGAAGGAGGAUGUGAAGAAGGUGGACAGAACGGGGAAAAGAAGAAAGGGCAGGUUCAGCAGCUCCACCCACAAAAGCUGUAGGCUGGAAGAGGAAGUGAUUGGAGGGUAAUAAUGGGCUAUUGGGGAAAGUAGAGAAGCAAAGCCUGGGGCAGCUGCAGCCCAAGGAGAGCCAUGUGUGGCCCGCUAGGGAGAGUCGAGACCCACUCGAGGAGCCACAUGGUUCCCAUCUACCCUGCCCCGCCUGCCCCCAAGGUUUGCCGUAGCUAGAGGAGACCCUGACAUAAUUCUGCCUCUGGGAGUGAUAAUAAUGAGCGACAAUCAGCAAAAUGUUCAUGCUGUCUGUCUUUCUGGAUACAGUUGCCAAUGCAGCAGGAUUUUAUUACACAGAGAGAAAUCCAGUCAAUCAAAUCAUUGUCACUAAGGUGCUAAUUACUUUCAAUAAAUGUAUGUCACCCAUUUAAUGCAACGAGAGUUUAGAAAAUGAUACACCUUUGGUAAUUACAGCAACCAAGACGUGUCCAUCAAUCUAAUUGUUUUUAUGAUUCUGACUCAUUUGCAUCCCUUUAUUUUUAUUAAAUGAGCUCUCAGUUAUUUUGAUAGAUACGCUCAGUGUUAAGAAAAGGAACGGGGUAUAGAGACUUGUUUCAAAUUUUGUGUAAAACGGGAAUGUGCACUUUGAAAAUGAUGUGCAAAGAUGGCUGAUUUUUGUUGAUUUUCUCAAAUUUCUGCCCUGCUUCUGUCAUGGAACAGAAGACAGCAUGGCUCCCAGGUGGCCCAGGCACUGACCAGACACUGGUGGUGUCCUCCUGUGCCUUCUUCAGGCCAGACCCUGGACAUGCAGAGGUACCACAUGAGCAAAGGGAAGGGGGAGCCAGGAAGCCCUUCCUCGACCACACACACACUAUUGACACUGGAGCAGCUGGAUGAGUUGAUCCAGACCUUGCUGAAGGUUGUUUCCCAUUUCAUUAUGUGGCUGGAAUUCUGAGUCUUGGAAAUUCCACUGAUGAAUUCUGCUGCCUGCUGUGGCACUAAGCCUGUCAGUGAAGGGGCCAGAGUGCAGGCUUGCCAUUGCUCCAUCGGCCAAAAGCUGGUAGCUUGGAGGAGCAAAAGCAGAUGACCCAAAGCCUUGGUCACUCCCAAAUGCUACUGCAAGAGCAUUGCCCUGGCUUCCUUUGUCUUGGCCUGGGAUAAAGGGGUCACAGGGGCUCUCUGUCCCUCACUCUCACCAAUCCCACGUCUCCUUUUUUUAAAUGAGAGGACUGAUGGGUGCCCUUUAGCUUCGUUAAAUGCCUCUGUUUAAGCUCCUUUUGUUUCUGGCAGCUAAACUUGAAUUUAUAGUCAGACACGGCAGGUAUGUAUAUUACCUGAGCACAAGUGGCAGGUGCCCUUUAGACCCCAUCCCUGGGAUUUAGUGUCAGCAGUUCUGUGCACUUUGGUAACUGGAGGCCUGGUGCAUUUGUUCCUUUCCAUCUUCAGGCUUGUAAAUCCCAUCAGCAGCACUGGCAUCCUUCCUCUCACCAGUCCUGGAACCAGCAUAACUCUGGCAAUGGCUGGGCUUGUCCCUCCCUUCUGCUACCACACCAUGUUGCCACUUCCUGUCUGUACCUGGGAAAUGCCAGCAGGAACAAAGGAGCUCUGGGAGUUGUAUUUCUGGAGAGAGCCUGUUAUGGGGGGGGGGCACUCGUCUCUAUGCCUCUUAGACUAUUAGCUCUAGUGUUCCAUUCAAGUUCUCAUUCCCUCUUUUUCCAGGGCCAGGAGCUCCCAAUUUAGACACGAUGCUCCUGCUUUCCUUCUGAGAUUGCUUCCAGAUAACCUGUUCAUGGAGCACCCAGCCUGAUAUGCUUGCUCCAAGUUUGUGGGGAUGUUGUAGGAUAUUUGCUGUUUGCUGAGCAUUCAUUUUUAUUCAUUUGUGGGGAGGUCUGUCCAACCAUUGACAUCUCAUACUUUCCUGUACAUUUCCACAAUAUUUUCCUUAUUACAUAAAGUCUGGUUUAAGGGGGAAGCAAGUUGGGUGCCCAAGAAAGCCAAAUCCACUUUAAUUAUGCACCUGGAAUUUGUUGCAUAAUUUCUGGAAUCUCACUAACAGAAUAGUGAUUGCUUGGAAGCAACCUCACUUGGCACACACACAGGGAGGGAGGGGCGGGGAAGGGCGGGGCGGGGAAUGGCACUGUAGCCCAUACUAGGCCCCCUAGUGUCUGGUUCCCCACCCCUCAGUUUGGGGGCGUGUGCAAGGGGGACUAUGGUCUUGUCUCCAUUGGUAUUUGUGCUACACAUUGAUGCUUGCUAAGGAUGCCAACCCGGUAAAUCACAACAGCCUGAUAUUCCAGUAACACUGCAGUUGACAGAACUAUAAAAUGAGCAAAUAAUCCCCUCCAAGUAAUUGCAGGAAUUGUCUUUCAUGACUGCAGAGCUUCACUGUGCUCCCACAAAGAAUAUUUUCUUCUCUGCAUGUUUGCAAAUUGUAGCACCUCCCAGCUCCAGCCGUGUGCAAAGACAAGCAGGGCUUUACAACCCUCCAGACGUUUGGCUCCUUCACCAUCACCAGUAACUGGUUUCUCCAGCCCUUUUCUUCUUUCAGAUUGUGUUUAUGCCUGGAACAAAGCGGCAGGCACUCAAGGAGCACUGAGGUGAGGUCUUGUCUUUCCUUGCCUCAUGUCUGGUAGUCAGGCUUAGGAAUGUGCUGAGAUGGACCCACCUUCCCAACCCUCACUUGGCCCUGUUUGGAUUUUGCAGUAAUUCAAAGGAACCAGCUCUUAGGACUGCUCAGCCUGUCUUUGUCACUGAAGGGAGCCCUCUUUCUUUCAAGCACCAUUAAGUAGUUCUUCCAUCCAGCGAAUCAGGGGGCUGGGCAGUUGCCUUCCUAGAUCCUGCCCCCCUUAGCGGCAAGCAAGGUCUUGCGUCUUGUGUGCACCCAGCACAGAGUAUCCUGGUCCAGCAAUUGAAAUCUGCAUGCAGAAUCAAUUUGAUUUUUUAAAAAAUCCUGAUUUACCCAAGAAAGCACUUGAAGGCUUGUGUAUGCUGAAUGCGGGUUCUACUGCUUAAAAUAUCAAUAUACACCAAGCUUUGACAAUUAAAUUGCUUGCUGGGGGUUGAACGGAAUUUUGUGUGUGUGUGUAACUUAAAAUCUCUCUGCUCUGCAUUGUCCGCUUUGGUGCAGGGCGUGAAAUAAUUUUUCCAUCUUUUUCCAUCUCACCCCAGCGUUCUUGGAAGGUCAGACUUUCAAUUGGGCUGUUACUGUCUCGCUGCAGAGUUUCCAAGCCACGUUAAUUUUUGGUCUGCCAUUGAUGGAUGAAGCAGUUUGAAUUCUGACAUGCAGCAGCCUGACUUGAAUGACCUGCAGAGGCCGAUGUCAGCCUCUUAUUUCAUGCCCGUUUGUCAGGCUGGAAAAAAAACAAAGACUUUUGGAGUUGUCCUUCCUUUACCUGGGGGGAGCGGGAGGCUUACACAAAGGGGAGCUUUCCCUAUCUCUGCCUCUCUCACUCUCACUAUUGCGCUCCCCCCCCCCCCGAUUUAGGAUCUUUAAAAGGGACUAUGCCAGAUUAAAGCUCCACAUCAUCCACCCCUGGAGGUAUUAGAACAAUUCUCAGACUUUUUCUGUGAGCAUCUUCUUGGAUUGUUAGUGGGAAGGAAAUUGCAUCAUGACUGAGUGAUAAGGCAGGGCAGGAGGAUACCACUGAGCUGGGAAAGCCCCUGGUGCCUGACCUCUUGGAGGUUUGCUUCUGAGGAAUUGGACAUAGUAUUGCAGCCCGGUCUGGAUAUUUUUGUAUUUGUCUGACAGUUGCUUUUUUUUAAGGAGAUAUGAACCUACAGUGUCCAAAUCAGGACAGAUGAUGAUGAUGAUGAUGAUGAUUAUAUCCCACCUUCCUCCCAACAAAACCCAAAGGAGUCUUUUCUCAUUCCUUUUGCAGUGUGACAGGGGUCAUUGCUGCUUGACUAUCCCUGUUCUGCAGUGGAUUUUUUCUCCACAGGGAACAAAUGGUUUUUUCCCCCAAAAUGUGGGAGGAAUGUCCUUUUUAUUUUUAUUUUAACAUAAACCUGCAAGGUGAUUUUUGGCUUUUCAGAGACACGAAGCAGAUUCCCUUCCAAACAUUAAACGUUCUGGUCUCCAAAGGAAAGCAAGAUUACAGGUCAAAUAAAAAGCAACCAAAAAUCUCGCAGCAGCAGCAGUAGCAGAAGCAGCAGCAGAAGCAGCACAAAACCGGCCUAGUGAGCCUCGAAGUCUGACAUGAAAGCGGAGCAGCUUUCGAGGCACAAUGGAGAAGGAGAUCAAGGUGUUCCAGAAAGAAAGCCAAACUGAAUGGCACUUGGCAAGGUGUGAGCCUGCAGAGAAGAGCAAAGGCGAGGGCAGCCGGAUGGCAAGAUGCUCGCAAAAUCCCCUUUUGUGCUGCCUGGAUUCAGAAGUCCUGGAUGUAGGGCUCUUGCACGGACCAGACUUGCCCACUUGAUUGGUUGGGCAGGGCCUUUUAUCUGCACCAGCCAACGUGGCUUUUUUGCAGCAGCAGCCCUGGCUCCUGCCUUGCCCAUGUGGGAGGAAAGGGGGCUCCCAGCCCUCCCAGCACCUCCACAGGAAGAGCUUCAGGGCCGGGUUAAAAACUCCUCUGGUUUUUGACUGAGUCCAGUGGGGAGAAAUAGCCUAAGGAUUUUGAGCUGUUUUAGUUCAAGCUUCAAAAAUUCCCCCUCCUAAAAUAAAGGGAGAAACAGUUGCUCUCCGUUUCAGAGGACUUGACUCAAUACUAUUUUCUUAGCCAGGUAGCAGGUUAAGGAGCCUCCCAGUCAGCAGGAAAUCUACCUGGGUCCCCAAAUGGCUCCCAUUUUGGCUCCUAGCCUCCCAUGUAUUUUUAUUUUAAGGAAAAUGUGCUUAGAUUUCAACGUGUGCACCCCUGCAACACACCUCUGUAUUUUCCUUGUGUGUGCAUGCAGGCUUUCUUGCUUAGAGUCCCAUUCCCAUUCUAUGACACAUAGAACCCUUCACACAGUGGGAGAAAAUCCCGAAAGUGGGAAUUCAGUACUGAUUCUCAGAUACAAUAAUUUUGUGUUGUGGUGAUGCACAAAUGUUGCUACUACGCCCUACUAAGGUGGGGAUAUUUGUGCCAUUACCUUCUUUAUCAUAACAUUGUCAACUUCACAUGACUUGCUGGGGGAAAGGUCUCCAAGUUCCAGAAUUAUGUAUUUUAUAUUAGGGCUCAUCCACACUUUCUCUUGACCCUUAUUUUGAUCAUAUUGUGUAUUGAUUAAAUCCCCUGGGUCCAAUAGCUUUUCUCGUUGUUCUGCAGCUGUGCCUUGUGAAAACCCGAUCUUACCCGCUGAAUCGGAUCUUAUCAGAUGCGCAGAAAAUCUGAAGAGAGAUUUUGCUUAACAGAGUUUCAAUUCAGCAGGUAAGAUUGGAUUUUCACAAGGCACAGCCGCAGAACAAUGAGAAAAGCUCUUGGACCCGGAGAAAUUAAUUGGUACGCAAUACAAUCAAAAUACAGGUCAAGUAAAAGUGUGGAUGACCCCUUAGAAAGAUUGGUGAAAACUCUGAAGACAGAGGAUCAGGGGAGUCUGCGGGGAGUAUCCUGGGUAGGGGAAGGAGGAGAAAUGGGUCUGCUUGAUCAGGCUCUGGGGUUCUAGGGCAACGUGUGUGAGAGCGUGUGUUAUAUAAACCCUUGUCAAGUGCUUUCUGUUCAGGACAUCCACCCAAGGUGCCUUUCCCAGGGGACAAAAGUGGAGGCAGUGGGACAGGGAGAAGCUUAGCAGUUGUGGCUCACCAGGGUCUCCUGCUUUGGGGGGAAACUGGCCAGCAGGACGAGUCUUUCACCACUGGAUAGUGAGGGGCUCUUGAGCCAAAAGUGAGCAUUGCUUCAGCAGCCGUGGCUCAGUGUGCAAAUAGUGUCUGCAAAGGUACAUAAAAUAUUCAUAUGAAAUGCCAGGAAACGGAGAUGCAUACGAAAAGCAAACUACCAGCCCUCCUCAUCUUCUGUCACUGGAAGAAAAAAAAAAGUAAUUCCCUUUUCUCCAAAUUCUCUUUAACCCCCCCCCCCAAAAAAAAAGAAAUGAGAAAAAGGGGAAAUGUAUUUAAAUAACAGUCAGGUUGUUAUUUAAACUGAUAACAACCAGGAAAUUAAAAGUUAAGCCUCCCUGACCCUCCCUUCCUCUUUUCGGCACUUGUGCAAAUCACAAAGGGACCCCGUCUCCUCCUGGCUUUCAAUUUCCUGGCUGUUGUCAUUUUCUGACACUGUUGUAGAAGGCAACCUUCAUUCACGUGCAGUGGAGGGCACAGCACCUCUGAGUGUGUGGGGGGCUUAAAGGGGGGUGCUUUAGCCCUAGUGCCAGUCCUCUGGGUUAGGGCCUUUUUGCACAAAUCUGCUAUCCUGGGGAAGCAACACCAAGCUCUUCAGGGGACUGAGGCUGGGCUUGUAGGUUAGCCCAGUUCCAGCCCUAGCAUAAACUAACCCUCUAGUCCUAAAGUAAAGCAUAGGAGAUGUGGGCCAGCACCAAUGGAGACCACCUGCUGUUGCUCCUGGGGGACUUGAAAUUGAGAGGACGGCCUGGAGCUAGAAAUGGCAUGCUCACCCCUGGGGAGCCAGUGAGGCGAUGUAGCCCUGGGGUGCCUUGCCCUUUGUGCAAUGGAUAAGUACCUAAGCCGUGCUCAGGCAUUUGCAUGAACACACAAACUCUGCAUCUUUGGGUGGUUGGCAGGAAGAGAGAACAGGGAACAUGCAAAUCCUACACACACACACAUCAGCUUUGGUUUACUAAUGAUUAUGAUUUUUAUUAGGGAAAUGGCAUGGGAGAGAGUGUUAAACCACCCAUUGCUCACACAUUUUGGCCCUCGGAGCGAUCCUAAUAGUAGCACAUUCCUCUGCUUGGUGUGCCUCCCCCUCCCCAGCCCAGAGGUCCAGCUGCACAGGAGAAGAAGCCUGAGCAUGAGACCCACUCAAAUGCAGCCCGCAGCCAUCAGCUCAGCCCCCUCCUGGCUGUACCUGACAGUUGGGGUGGUGAGGGAGCAGCUCCUCCAUGUUUCCCUUCCUCUGGGUGGGCUGCGCUUGUUUUCCUUGGGUUCCCCCUGGGCACAGUUGUUGUUGUGUAGGCUACAAGGAGCAGCCUUUGGGUCGCGUUCUAAAUUCACACCAUGACGUCCCUCUUUUGGUAACAGAUGACGAAUGGGCUCUAAUUUUUCCCCAUAACAAUCCAUAACUCUUCUUGUCCCAGGGCUGCUCAGCCUGGAGCCUCUCCCCCCCCCCUCCCUCCUCCCCAUCCCCUCCCUCAGUCUAUCAGCUCUCUGGCUUGUGGCAGGUGCCUCAUUCUUUAUUGCUUCGGAAAAACGAAGCCUCGGUUCUUAUUAAGCUUGCAAUAUCUUAAAUGAAAUUCAGAUUUAUAUGGGGAAAUCGCGCUAUUUGUAAUAUGAAUCAUCAACGUCAGUAAUGCAAUUUUAAGGAGCCGAUUUCCCCUCUAAGAAUCUGUGAAUCUUCAUGGUUCUCCUUUUACCUGCUCUAAACAAAGGCUCGGCUGAUAUCACUCUUCACUGCUGUGCAAAAUUCCAAUUCUGCAAUGUGGGGGCAGAGUGGAGAAGGGGGGGUGCUCCACAUCUUCAUUUUCUUUGCCUGGUUCUUUUUUCUGACCUGUGUGCAUUUUGAACACGUGUGAGAGUUGCUUUGUGUAGAUCAUGGAAAGAAAGAUCUGCCCACAGGUAGACAGCAACUGGGCAAGGGUUCAUUUUAUGCCACAAUCUUGUGAGCACACCCACUGUAGAAUCGAAACCAGAUAUUUUUUUCUCUUUCAAGGAACUGGGGUGCAGAAUGGCUCACAUUCCCACAUUCCCUAUGCAGAUGGGCAGGUGGUGGUUGUGCUACAGUUUGCCAAAAGGAAGUGAUGAGGCUGUGGGAGGGAAGGAAAGGGCAAAUUCCCCUUGCAAAUUGUUGCCCAUUUUAAGCAGCUGGCCCACAGCACAAUUUGGUCCUCAGAGAUAGCCCUUCUCUGUUAAUUUUGAGGCACCAGACCAGCAUCCUGCUUCUUUAGGUUUCAGUGAGAGGGGCAGAAAUGGUAUUUUAUUUUAUUUGUAAUACAUGGAGAAUGGAGUGCAGCAGCCAUGCCAUAGGUUAUCAAACCAUAAUGAUUAGUGAUACAGUGAAAUGAAUUGGGUUUUGUUUUUGUUUUUUGCCAAAUGUGUUGCAAGCUCGACGAAAAUGUUUCCGUUUCUGCCUUGGUGAAUGUAAUUGGAGAGCCCUUACUAUUGCCAGUGCCUUAAGGAAUGUCCAGUGAAUAAAUGAGUUGAAGAGGAAACAGCAAGAAGAAAGCAAAUUACAGGAAGGAGGCUGCUGGGGGGGGGAAUAAUUUUAAUUUCUUUGUGAAUUUCCUUAACAAUGGUGGCCUUUCCCGUUUUCCCAGCCUAUGGCUUUGAAAUGAUAAAGCAUCAUAAUAACAGUAUGGCUGACUUUCAUUGUUGCAUCAGGGCCCUCUAGAGACUGGGGCAUGUUUAACGUUCCUUCUUCUGAAGCAGCUGAUUUUAUGAGCGUCUGAACUUCCUUUUGUUUUGUUCGCUUUUUUAAAAGUAUGUUUCUGUUGUUCUUGAUAGCUGAGACCCCCCCCAAAAGAUAUUUUUUGAGUUUCACACAGCAGAAAAAGGAAACUCAAAGGAGCUCACCCAAUUCCCUAUGGUAUUAUGUAACAAAAUGACUUCAAUUUAUCCAGUCUUAAAAGUGGGGGCCAGAUGCCUUCGUAUUUUGCAAUUCUUAGGGUUGAUCAUAACACACUGGACACGUCUUCUGUUUGUUAAGAGAUUGUAAAGGAUUUGUUGGUUUCAUUAAUCAAACAUUUCAUUAAUCACAGAUUAAAAAUGUGGAUUUCAAGUGGAGCUGCCUUCUGAAAAUGUUCCAGCUUUGAUGGCAUGGUCACAAACCAUCUGUAUAUAUCUGUAUAAUUCAAACAAUGCACUGAAGUUUAUUUAGUUUGCAGAACCUUCAGUGGUAUUGCUAGCUUUCACCUGCCUUCAGAAAUCCAUUCAAUCCAUUAAUUGGGCCACAGGCAGAUCAUAUUUUAGGGGAUUGUGAGUGUGUUUCUGUGUUGGUUUCAUCUCUUUCUAAACUGGUUUGUGUUUUUGCUGGGGAUGAGUUGAUUCAGUUGCAUGUUCCAUUGCCUGGUGGAAAAAAUGGGAUUGCGUUUCACUAAUAAACACAGGACUAAAGAUUAUUUUUCCAUGCUGGGCCUUUUCCUAAGUCUCCCUCUAUUACAACAAUUGUUUGGGGGAAAUGAGCAGGGAAGACUAGGCAAGUAUCUCCCUGGAGAGACAGAGACCACCAGGGACAUUUCUCUACCAGGUUCCCAGCUAGUGGUGUUACAGGGCCAAGGAGGGUUACCCUCAGAAAAAGGCAGCAGCACUGCAUAGGGCUGAACUGCAAGGAUCUCAAAGACCAGCCUGCCUGCAGCGCAAGGGAUGCAGGAGGCACAGGCAUGACGCUAACAAAUCACUCCUCCUAGCCCAGCCAGGCCCGACGGCAGACGAAAGCCUGGGUUGUGUGCUUGUGGAUGCAGACCUCUUCGUGUGACCUUCUGCUAAAUUGGAUCAGGCUUUUCUUUUGUGGGCGGUGGCAGCAGAAACAACAUUAAACUUGCCCAUUUGAUGAAACCCACACAGAGAGUGGCCAUAUUUGGAUGCUUCUUUUUAAGAGAGCGGAGCCUUUCAUUGUAUGCUGAAUUCACGUCACCCUGUCAGCUUCCUGUAUGAUGGGCUUUCUACCAUUAUUAUUAUUUUUCGUAUCAAAUUGUGAUUUUUCUGGUUCUCCAUCUCCUUCCUCAUUCAUUUGCCAGACCUUCCCUUGCUGCAGCCUGGGGCAGGCCUUACCCACCACCUCCAUUGUAAGCUUGCAGCAUUUGCAGUGCAAUUCAGAUUUCUAGGUUACGAUUGCAAGGUAAACGGCAAAGAGGUCUUGGAAACGAAGCAAUUGUGAGGGGGCACUUUUUGGCCUUGGUAGUUUCUGCUAUGUGAAUUACCUCCCACAGCUUUAAACAAAAUGGGUGGGGGGAAUCUGGCAACAUGUUCUAAUUAAUAAAGGUAUUUAAGCAUCUCUUGGACCCAUGCAGCGAGUCAUCUGAAGAGAUGAGCUUAAAAGAAAUCACAUUAACACACAGAGAAGAAAAUAAUUUUUUUAUACUUGAUUUGCUGAGGGUUGGGGGGUUGAAUGGAUGCAACUAAACACGAUCUGAGCUGUCACUUUGCAGCAGGGAAACAAAGAUGCUGUUUUGGAAUGUUACAAAUGAGUCUGAUGUUAGACACUCUGUAAACUGGAGCGACAGAGGAAACCAUAUUUGUAAGAUGAUUGGUUUGUUAAUAUUUGGUAAUUGGAGUCCGUCAUUUUUAAGGCAUGGCAAACCCCAACAAACAACCUCUGCAUCACAUCAACCGCAGGAGCUUGUCAUCUUAUAGUGGGUGGGGAGCAGGUUGGGGGAUCCAGGCUGUGCCUGUUUGGAGGUUUACACCCUCCUCCUCCAAUCCCCCCACCUCAUCUUUUCAAGAGAAUGAUUUUUCUCAUAAACUAACAUGUCAGACAAAGCAUCUACAUUAAAAAAAAAAUAAUAUUUGGCGAUAUUCCACAUGAACAUUUGAUGUAAACCCUGGAGGUGUAUUCCCCAAGUACCUAUUACCUCCGUUUUAGGGAAAUUACAUUAAAUUAUUAGUGACAAAUUUACUUGUCUGCCAAUGUGUUUUUCUGGAAUUUUACUACAACAUCAAUACUUGGCUGUUUUAUACGGCCCCUCAUUUACCUGUCUUUGAAGGCAGUCACCCCUCUGGGAGUGCCGGCUGUCACUAGCAUGCAGCUUGCAAUACUCUUUCCGUUUUACAUUCCCUGUUUUGAAUUAGAGGGAGAAAUGUGUAGGUUGUGCCAGGUCUUUCAGCUGUGGCUUGUGGCCUUCCCCUGGCUUCCUCUCAUGGAAGGACCUGGAUCGCUAUUGGGAGGAUCGUGUCCUGGAGUGGAAAAAUGAAGGGAGGUGAUAUUCCUCCAGAGGUGAUAUUCCAGGAACUCCUGUGACUUUGCUUGUGCCUGAGCACACACCUUCCUAGCCCAAUGUCAAAAUGCCAGCAGUUGAGGCAAAGGUCAGGCUGCGAGCAAAGGUCAAGUGCAGCAUUUUAGAGCCCAAUUAAGUUGCUAUAAAGAACAAACCAUUGGGAAGUGUGCUGAAAGCUUCUAGCAGAAGCUGGCCUGUAGUUUGUCCACAGGGAGACACCCUAUUGUAGCCCACAAGAGGUUGCCCCCAUCCGUAGCCAAAUGUAAUUCAGAACUGUACUAUCUUCCAUCUUUAUGUCAAAUUUAGGUUUGGAUAUUUUAAUGCCAAACCUGUGCUUCUUCGGAUCUUGCUCUUCUUUUGUAUCUCCAUCAACAGAACAUCAGGACCAAGGUCCUUGCUGGAACCUCUUCCUCCCCUGUUAACAAGCAACCUCUUUUUAGGAGUAGGAAGAAGAAAGGUCUCCCAGAAAAUACAUUGGUACCAUCAAGCUAUCUUUAGAGGGAGAAUGAACUUGGUUGGCAAAUGAAGGUCAUGCUAGCAGAGGCUGGGUCUUCCUUGGAGAAGUGUGGGUGUUUAACAGUGGCUCACAUUAGCAAAGGUGUAACCAGUAAUCAAUAUAGGUAAGUUGCCCUUCGUUCUGUACCAAUCCUACUAAUCCAAAUGGGUUAGCAGUGGUCAAAGUGGGCUUCAUCCCUUUCCUUUAUCAGAGCAUGUUGUUUGCAAGUGACCAGUGUCUCCCCCAGAUUGUGAGGUCUAUAAAAGCCCUUACAGUGAGCACCCAGAGUCCUCCUCCGUUGUGCAGGUUGUUUCAUUCACAUUCGCCAUAGAGAAGAUUGCACCGGAUGAAAGUGAUUGCAAAUCAAUCAAGAAUAAAGGCAAGGUAGGUCCUCCUUCACUUAAUCUAAGCAGAAUGUCUCCCUAACUCCAAGCACUAAAAUAUGUGACUUUGCUCAAUUAAGAUAUUUGGAAUUAUUAGGAACAAAUAAGAAUCUGCCUGUGAGAACAAAUUACAGCGGUGUCAGGAUCUUGUGUCCUCCCUUUGCUGUGGUGGCUGCUCAUUUUCUGCCGUUGAUUGAGAUGCAGGAAGACAAUAUCUGCUCAUAGUGUCUGUGUGUUGUGUAUCUGUGUACCGAGAGAGGAAGAUAAAUGCCUUUUCCAGGAACAAAAUACAUUGUCUUCUUUCUCCGCCUUCCAUUUUCUUUGCAUUUCACCUGGUUUUCCUCCUCCCUACACCCUCUUGGAUAUGGACUCAAUUGUCCAAUUAAGCCUGCAGCUCUUUCCCAGGCCGUCUACCUUAUAAAUUAUGGCUAAUAUUAUUACCCCCUCCUGAUCUCCUGGUGAGGGAAAGGAUGCCUUUGGCUCAGAGAAGGGAACGAAGCCCCUCUGCCUCUUGCUUGGCUCCUCACCUCUCGUGCAGCUCAAGAUGGAGGGUUUAUGAUUAAUACAGUUGAUGCAGAAAAUGGCCUAUUGCAUCAUGGCUUCUCCUUCUCCUUCUUUUAAAUAUCUCACGCUUGCUGCACACAGUCUCUGAGCAUCCGUUAGAGGGAAGUGACAGCCGGGCUGACCUUUCUCUUGGAAUCACGUGUGUGUGAAAGAGAAUUAGCAUGAUACAAGGACUGUUUAAUGUGUUUUUACCUCCCCAGCUUCCCGUUUAGAGGCUGAGGCCAGCUACCUGCAUCUUCAGAACUCCCUUUACCCCUCUAUCCUUUGCAUGUCUCACGGUACUGUGGCCUAAAGGACUUUCCUGGCCCAUUUCACAUUCCCUAAAGGUCAAGCUAAACAUUUUGCCUCCUUUUGUAUCUUUGCUGACAGAGCAGGGGGUGGGUGGGAGCCCUAUUCAACUGCUGUAACAAUUUUUCGGCAGCCACAUCGAAGGCAGUGUCAAUGCAGGAAGGUGUUAUGACUUAAAUUGGCUCUUUGGUGCAACUGGAGUCCAUUGAGUGACAACUGUGGAAAGUCCACAAGGCUGGGUGGUGGUGUUUUUUCCAGUGCCCCCAAUUAGUGCCAUUAGCGAAACUCUAAUACGCCUGGCGUGUACCUGCAACAGCUGUGGCUGAUACAAAGCCAGCCAAUCACAUUAUGCCCUUGUCAGCUCUCAUUAGCCUGUGAUCAAUUUCCAGGAUCUAAGGCCAACCUGAAUGAAAAGUAAAAACACAUUGUUACCACAAAUUUCAUCAAGUAAAUAUGCUGGAUAAGGGAACAGAUCAGCUGUGACCUCUUUGACAUUUUCAAAAUGUUUAAAAGCUGAAGUUAAUACUUUCUGAUGGGCUUUCAUCUUGCGUUGACAAUGGAGGGGCCUGGAGUGGUGACAGCCUGUGUCAAACGGGGCUGUCUUAUCAAAAACAAGACCCCCUCCAGAUUUUCCGAGCCAAAUAUUCUCAUCUAAGAUAAUUGCAUUUAUAUGGUUUUUUGCUCUCUCGUCUCCCCACCCCCCGAUAUACACCUCGAAGUCUUCUGAGCAGCAUCAACCUUUUCAUUUGAUGCUUCCCACACACACACAAAGAACAGGAUUGUGUGUGUGUGUGUGUGUGUGUGUGUGGGAAGCAUAAAAAAUUAAAAGGUUUUAUUGCUUAAAAGAAAUGCAGACUUUUUCUGUGCCAAGCCAACCAGAAGUGAAUAUGGCUCAGUGUUACAUUUUAUCUUUGGGUGUCUGACUUGGGAUUUUGUCACAGAUGUUGAACGUUUCAUCUUCCAUGCGGGCUUUUUCAGGGAUCACUCAUUUGCCUGUCAACUGCUUCCGUUUCCAUUUGUGUUCUUUGGUGGGGGAAGAAGACUGUGUGCUUUGCUGGGCAUUACUGGUUAGAAUUCCCUUCUAAUCUUUGCUUCAGUGUGAAUCUUUCUGUGGUUAGGGUUUACAAAUUUGCUUCUCCCAGUUAAUGAUUGUUGUUGGCACUGGGAGAUUUGCAUGAACCGCAGUUCUGUGCCGGAGGACCUUAAUGGGUUUGAAAGACAUGCUUUUGCCUUGUAUUGUGUGGAGAGGGGGAUUUCCCUGGAGUCAAAGCUGGGAGAGCCUCAGAUAAUGCUGAGAAAUUGUACUGUACUGCCCUCAAUAACACUUUUGCUCCCUCCCUGUUGUUGACCACAUUCAUUCCGUCUUGUGUCCAUUUUGCUUUCCUUUGACUAUAUUCUGUUUGGACAAAGUUUGGGUUUUUUUACUCCAUUUUUGCUUCAUUGGAGUGACUGAAUUUUUAUAACAGAUUAGGAAGAAUGUUAAAAGAUGUGGAUAGAGCAGGUAGACAGGAGUUGCUACAGCUGAGUCUGGAGAGCAAAUGGUACACAGGAACAUAGGUAGUAGCUGCCGUAAACCAAGUCAGGCCUUUGGUCUAUCUAGCUCACUAUUGUCUUCACCGACUGGCAGCAGCUCUCCAGGGUUUUGGGCAGGGAGUCUCUCCCAAUAUUACCUGGAGAUUGAACCUGGGACCUUCUGCAAAACAGGUGAUCUACCACUGAGCUGCGACCCCUUCCCCUUGUUCUGAUGAAAACCACUGUGUGUUAAAGGCACAAUUUCUAAUAAAUGGACGCAUGGAUUUAUUAUUCAUUACAAUAUUUUUACCCUAUAUUUCAGUUUUCAGAACUUCCAGAGCAGCUUACAAAUAUGAACUGACAAUUAAUACAACCAAAAACUAAAACAGCAGGAGAAGAAAUAAUAAAACCAGCAAUUGAUAAUGGAACUCAGAAAGGACUGAGCAUUUUAAAACAGCUGGGUAAAUAAAAUGGCAUUUGUGUGGAACCUAGAAACAGAGAUUUGGCACCAGUCGAAGUUUCCCUCACCUGUGUGGAGAGGUGGCCCCACAUAGGCCUUUGCAUGACCUAACGGUCCACUCAUUCACUUUUACCUAAAUACUCUUCUUUUUACCGAAAGAAGAGAAAUUUUUUAGGAAAUGUUCUUCCACUUUUAUCUCAAAGGUGGGGUGAUUUCAGGAAAGCUGGAAGAAGCAAAAGUGCAAUGUUGGCAUAAAAGUGAGAAUAACUCAGCCAGCUGGUGGUGGAGAGGUGAGCCCAAAGGCAGGCCUACCUUUGGAAGGUGUUAUCAGAGUGAGCUCCCCAACCCCUCCGAUUAUUCCAAGUGCCCUGAAUAUCUAUUGGGGUGUUCUGCUUAACUGCAGCUAGUUGAAGAUUAGGAUAAUUCCAUGUGGGCUGCCGGUGAACCAGGCAGAAGGGCUUGCCACUUGAAGGCCAGCCUCCGGUUCCUCCUCUCUCUAAAGUUUGGCAAACAGCUGGGAUUCACUUGAUCUUUGCUCUUCUCACAUAUUACAUGUUGAGGUUUAAUUUUUGGUUUAAUUGAUCCUCCUCUGGCGGCCUCUCCCUCCCCCAGAGUCCCCCCUCUUUUAAUUCAACUUUUCAGGUUUUGCUGACAACAUAGUUCGCAAAUUAAUAGUUCCUUUAAAACCUUUGCCUCCUUUUCAUUUUCUUUCAAUAUAGAUGCCCUUUCUUCACCCUUAUAUUCUUCUUUUAUCUUUUGUGCAAUUUGGUUUUCUUUCCUUUCCCCCACUUGACUGCCUUGUCUUGUGCAACUCUUUUGACUGAUUUUGGCCUCAGAUUCCCAUUAGUAAUGAGGAGGAAAUUGGAUGCACUUUGUAUUUGCCUAAAUCUACCUAAGCCACAUUUUCUGAAACAAUACAGGUACUAAAACACAACCAGCCUUCAAAAUUUGCACUGCUCCGAAUUUUGCAGUGCAGUUUUCCAGCCAGCCAGGUAAUGUGCAAAAAAAUUCAUAUACUUAUGAAAGUAAUAUACAUAAUAUACAUUAUAUUAGGGGAAUACUGUUACAUUAAAAUUUGGAUAUUUAUCAGAAUUGUACAGAAAUUUGUAUGUUAGGAGAAAUUCACACUAAAAUGCUGAUGAAUUUUCCAUUAGGUUUUUUUAAAAAUUGGAAACUGAUAUGGAAAUGUGGAGAACUGAAUUUAAGAUUGGAAAAUUAGGAUGAGCUUAAAUCAACAGAUUUGCCCACCCUGUGAUUCCCACCCACCCAAAUAACACAUAUUUAUUUACAGUGCCAGGUGCCCCUCUGCAAUCAGUUAUACUUAAAAGUGUUUACUGAGAGCUGCAUCACUUUGAGUUUUAUGCUGUUCUCUUGAAAAUCAAAGGUGAAGCCUUUUCUAUUCAGCAGCCUUCAAUUUUAAAUGUUUGAAUUACUUUAAUUUUGGACUACAAAAAAAACUAUAGUGCAUAGAAUUAAAAAGCACUUUAUAAACCAAAAGCCGCUCUGGAAAUGGGCAAUGCUGACAUUGUAAUGCUGAACAGAGAAACAAUGAUUCCAACAUUUAUUUAAUAGCAGUAAUAUUCCCCCCCCCAACAGGCUCAAAUAAAUAAAGAAUGGUGCAGGUUGUCCAUCUAAAAGAAAUUGCUAAUGUUUCUUGGUCAUUUCCAAGCAAAAUAAUCAGAACAAGUUAGCAGCUACAUUUGGCCAAGGACCGAGUGCAGGAUUUCCGUGUUCUCGGAAGCUGUAUCGGAGGCGGUGUCCUUCACAAAAGCCUCCCACAGAUGUCAGGGAUGGAGAAGCUGAUUCAGCCUUUGACAGGCGGAGCAAAGAAUGCUGUAGUAUCUUUUAUUUAUUCAAUUAUCCACCUGCACAUAUGGGGAAAUAACAGAAAGCUUCCAAAGUUCUUUUGAAAUCGUGACGUAAAUAAAAGCCUAAGAAAUAUCACAGGAGGCUGAUCUGUUGCUCUCAGAUCAGUCUCCGCAUGUCAUGCAACGGCUCGAAAUGGAGACCACUUUGUGCAAAGCAGAUCAAGACUUCCAGGAAUCUGUGCUUGCCGCCCCCCCCCCAAUUGCUUGAUAUCAGUUUGCACCCUGAAGAUUUUACCUGUGAGGGGCCCAGUAGUUCACAAGCACCAGGCCAAAUUUUGUGCUUUCUGAGGCUUGUGAAUCUGAACUGCAGCCCCCCACCCCACUCCAAACAGCCAGAUGUUUCUUCUGGGUGGCUGCUCCCAGACUUUGGAACUCCCUUUCUAGAGAUGCAGGACUAGCUCCCUCCUUGUCCUUCCAUUGGCAGUUGAAGACUUUUAUUCCAACAGGAACUGACUUUUUAUUAUUAUUAAGUAAAGUGUUUCAGUAGUGCUGUUCUGUUUUUAUUAUCUGUCUUUUAAUAGAAUUGUUUUUAUACCAUUUUAAUUCUGUUAGAUUUUAAUUACUUUCUAACAAUUACCUUCUAUAUGUUCUUAACUUUUUGGGGUUUUUUUAUCAGUGCUGUUUUGAUUUAUGUAAGCUGCCUUGAGUUGUGGUUUGGGGAAAAGGUGGGAUAUAAAUAAAUAUAGUAAUAGUAGUAGUAAUAAUAAUUGGUCAGUUUUGCUAGGCAGCAGGAUCAUCCCUUGUUUGUCCUGUGUGCCACAGAGGUGACACCCUGCCGGAUUCCAUGUGGUUUAUCAGAUAGCAAGGUGUUUUCAGGUGAAGCCUUCCAAGGGAGCUUCUGGUAUGUGUCUCUGUGGUAUUUGCCAGUAGGUACACCUUUGAGGGUUACAACCAUAGAGUUAGAAGUCACUUAGAAGAGUCCAGCAUCUCCUAAGGAGGCUGUAGGUUCCAUUGUCAAGCCGCUUGUACAGUUUAGAAGGGGCUCCUAAUGCUUAGCCCAAAUCUGAUUCUCUGCCAUUAGUUUCACUCCUACCUUCUGAAGCUGAGAGUGGAGGGAGGAGAGUUAUUAUGACAUACAUUCUGAAAGCCAAAAUAGUUCUCCUUUGGGGGGAUGAGGGCUGCUAAAAAUGCAUUUUCAGAACAAAUGCGUGAGGAUUCCUGUUUUUAAUUCUGAAGGAUGCUUUUUUAAAAAAUUAAGUGCAGAUUCUGCCCCCCCAAUUGCUUCAUACAUGUUUGUUAUUAUUGUAAUAUUUAUUAUUAUUAUUAUUAUUAUUAUUAUUAUUACACUGUAUUAUCUGCCCUUCACCUUAAGGUCCUAGGGUGGGUUGCAACAAUUAAAACACAGUAAUAUUAACAACAGUUCUAAAACACCUUAAUAUUACAAAAAUAAGAUAGGCCCUAAAAAUUUACAUCUCAGAUGUCAACCCUCAAAGUAAAGAAGUGUGUCUUCCUUGCAAGGAAAAGAACCAACAGCUUCCUAAUACUAUUAUUUUAUAGUUCUCCAUGCUUUAUAUAUAGCAUUGCAUGCAGGAUUUAUAUCAUAUCAUGUUAUCAUGUGUGAUGCAUACACACAGUGUGCCUGUUUUAUUGUGAUUGCACAUGGCAGGAAGUCACUGCCAAAUGAGUCUACCUUCCUGCUGUCACACAUGGCAAACUGCACCUGGUACUUGCAGAACUUGCCUUAUACAGAGUUGGACCCUUGGUCCAUUUAUCUCAGUAUGGUCUACACUGACUGGCAGCAAUGGCUCUCCAGGGUUUCAGUCAUACCUGGAGAUGCCAGGGUUUUGAACCUGGGGUCUUCUGCAUGCAGCUCUACCUGGGCUUUACCACUAAGCUAUGACCCUUCUCCAUGGAUGUGACUUCCAUGUAAACAAUUUACAUUGGGGUGAAUCUGGCCAAAGAAAAUCAGCACUGCUGGAAGAAGUAAGUGGUGCUGCUCUUGAAGCAAACCCUGCACUGGAGGGAUUGAAGGAUCUGUCCACUUCAGCUCUUCUCCCUGUUUUUCAUUUUUCCAUUCUUAAAUUCUCCACAUUUCUCAGCAAAUCACAAAAUUUGUUUCAAAAACAUCCUCAUGAAAGUUCCCCAGCAUUUUAUUGUGAAUUUCUACUAAUUUUGCAUUUUUGUAUGCAUUUUUUACUAACAUGCAUUUUUAUAUUAUUUUUGCUAAUGCAUUUACUUUUAAGCACACUUUCUCCUCAACUAUGCAAUUUUGUAAACACAGGUUGGGGGAGAGCUGCACUGCAAAAUUCAGAGAGGUGUGAAUUUCAAUGGUUGGUUGUGUUUUAGUUCUCAUAUUAUUUCAGAUACUUCAAAUAUAAUAGAUUCACCUUGAAAUGUCAAAUUUCUCUCCACCCCCCUCCUUAUCCUCCACUCUCAAAGUGUUAAUUGGGUAGAUUUCGCAGGCACUGUAUGCACAAACCUCCUCCCCUAAAUUGGACCUCUGUUUCAAAUGGGGUUGUGCUGGACAAGAAUGGAAACCAUCAAGUGUCUCGUGAGGAUGACCUCCCAUUUAAGCUGCCCACAUUUCCCAUUUAGAUGUCUAAAAGUGUUAAGAGGAGAAAAUAUUUUUUUUAAUUUUUAAAAGCAAGAUAAGCUCUUUUAAUGUGCUCUCUUAACUAUUUAGCUCCUGGUGCCACUUUUUGAUUGCUUCUUAGAGGAAUUUCCAAAGAACACGAUCUUGGAUUGACCACCUUCUGCUUGAUAGUGGUGUAGACAGAAGUGCAGAAAUUGCAGGUGGGAUUGUGUGAAGAGAAUGUUGUCCAAGAAAGGUGUGCUGGAGUAAACUCAUGGCAUGCAAUUUGCAAAAUGAGAGCAGGUGGGGGCAUGAUCCAGGAAGCAGUAAACAAAAAGACUAAUUUUCUCUUCUGCAACACGUUUUCCAGCAACCGCAUCCCUCUGUACACCUCCCACACAUAUCUUGCUUUCUCAUUGCAUCACAUGGAGGUUUCAGAGAGGGUGGCAUGGGAAGGCAAAUUCAUUAUGGCUUUUGCCUUCCAUCAAGGGUUUUUUGUUUUUUUUUUACUGUUCUGUUCUUAAGCAUUUCUGAGCUGCGCAAACAUUUCCAAGCCCUUUCUUUUUCUUUCUUGGGGGUGGAAGUUUUAUUGGCAUUCAUGGGUGGAUAGAGACCUGCAGAUCAAUAGACACAUGCUAUCCAGGUAGUCAGAGAGAGAUGUACACCUACAGGAUAUACUGUAUAUCACACAUCCCUUAAAGAUGAGCUGCACUGCUUUUUAAAUAAUAGAUGCUUGAGAAGCCAGAUUAUUAACUGGAGAUGUGUGCAUGGAUUUCAAAAUCCAUCCCUACAACACCUUUUAAGGGAGGCCAGUCAGAGCUGCUCCCAGUCACCUGUGGAGAUUUUCAUGCUAAGCUGGAGGGGGCACAGAAGAAGCCCUAGCCUGAUGCAAGUGAGUGAGGAAGGGCCUUGCAAAGAAAAGCGGUUGAAGAGAAAAGAGGGCAAGCACUUUGACAGGUUUUUAAAAACAACAAUAACAGACUAUUGUCCCUUGGGGGAAAAUCAUAUAUCAAAACCUAUAUCAGGAAUAAGGAACUAUCUGUACAGCUGCUUUCACCCUGAACUUGGCCUCUGGCCCUGAUCCUGCAAUGACUUACAGCUCCUCCUCCAGUAGCAAAAUUAAGCAGACAUCUCUUUACAAAUAGUGCCUGCUACAUGCAUUUCACUCCACAUUUUGACUCUGCUUAGAGGGGAAAUCCAGGCUAAAGUCAAUAUUCCAUUUGUAUCCCCUCUUUCUUCUACUCUGUAUGUUUGUGCCAGUUGCACCCAUCCCAGGCACUAACAAGACCCACACCUGCUUGGCUUUGGCCAAGAAAAGAGGUUGCAUCCUGUGCCUUCAGGCCCCCCAACACUUCCUUAGCAUGGGGGUUCCUACUUUCUCUUAAGUGUCCUCUUCAUGGCUGAAGGGAAAGCAGAGAUGCUGGGAAGGUCUCCGAUCUGAGGCCACCACCUUCUUUGCAAGACUGUUGAUCUCCAAAUGCCGCUUUGCUGCAAUGACAACAGAUCCAUAAUCAAUUCUUACCCACUACUCAGGUCAUUGGUGGUCAUCCCAAGGCCUGGAGUGCUGGCUAAGGGGUAAAUAUUUGACCACGGCCAUAGUGACCCUGCAUUAAUUAGCAGGGAAAUUCAGGGCUUUACCUCUGAUGGAAUCACAAUAUUGUUUUUACAAGUUUAUGAAGGCUUGAUUGAUGUGAGGCCCACUGAUUCUUUAAAGGAUUAAAUUGUAUGUACAGGGCCUGCCUGUCAUUCCUUAAGCAGGAACUGAAAAGAGGGGGAAUGAAAUAAAACAAGAGGAUAUAUGCCUUUUAAACAUGCUAUAUGCCUUUUAAACGUGCUGAUGCUUCCAGGCUGACCAGGCUUUGGAAGACUUUGGGGCUGAUGAUGCUAAACCAUGUGUAUACAGUGGUUCCUCUGGUUACAUACUUAAUUCGUUCUGGAGGUCCGUUCUUAACCUGAAGCUUUAGCUAAUUUGGCCUCCCGCUGCUGCUGCGCCGCUGCUGCCACGCAAUUUCUGUUCUCAUCCUGAAGCAAAGUUCUUACCUGAGGUACUAUUUCUGGGUUAGCGGAGUCUGUAACCUGAAGCGUAUGUAACCCGAGGUACCACUGUACUUUUCUUAUUUCUAUAUGGGACUGCCUCUUAGGCAUUUGGGAUUGAUUGAGGCAUUUCACAUAUUUUUCCAGCCUUGGGGAAGAGCUGUUUUGGGUGUCAUAUGGCGAAGUGGUGACAGAGUGCACUUAUCAGGAGCCCACCCACUUCAUCUGGACAGCAACAUCGUUUUCAGGAGUGCCAGAGAAACAGCCACACCUGGCCCAAGAGAGGUGCUCUGCUGGGACACCUUGCAACAACACACAAGGGGCUGAGGCCAAGCUUUCGUGUUUCAAGAUGUGUCACUUUGGGCCCCUAGAGGUGCAGCCCUGUCCAGACCUACUUGGGAUUAAUGCAGAGAGGCUUGCUUCCAAGUAAGCAAGCCUUAGGCUGCACCACAGACUUUGUACAACUCUUCCCACCCCACAACAUGAAAGAGAGUGGGAGACAGGCUUCUCUUGCACUGAGCUCCAUGUGCCUCACCUGACACUACCCCAGAGGGUAUCAUUGGGGGUGGGCAAAUCUGUCAACUUCCAUUUUUUUCAUUUUCCCAACCUUUAGUUCUUCGCAUCAAAUGGUGAUUUAUUUAUUUUUUAAAGAAAACAAAAAUUUUCUUCAGUGAAAAUUCUCGUUUUCUCAUCAGGAUUUUGGGAAGAAUUUCUCCUGGUAUGUGUAUAUUUUGCCUCAUAUACACAUACGUGCAAAGCAAUUUUAUCUAAUAUAAUGCAUUUGUGUGCAGACUUCUCCCAAGUUGCAUACAUGACGUGGCUGCAAGGCAGCAUUGGAAAAUCUGGAGAUUUGUGAAUUUCAAAGGAUGGCUGCAUUUCAGGUGCUGCAUUGUGUCAGAAAGCGCAGAUUAAGUGGGUUUGCCUUUAAAUGCAAACUGAGUUUAAUUCCCCACCCCCUAGUAUCAAAAGAGAUUGUUUCAGUGCAACCACCAGAAAUGUCUCAAAAUUUCUCAUCCUGCUUCUAUGAUGCACCCCCCCCAGCUCUCUCCUCCUUUCUCCCUGUGCUGCUGAUGCCUUCCCUUCUUUCCUCCUCCAGUCUCCUUUACCAGGCAAAUCCAUCCAAAGCUGAAGGAGCCACUGGAGGGGGCUGAUUGGAGGUGGGAGAGCAGAAAGGGGCAUCUUCUCUCCCCUUUCUAUCUGUGGGGCAAAUGCUGUAGUUCAGUUGGUUCCCCCCACCCUGGACCUUUAGGCUUUAAAAACUAUAAUUUCCCUGUAAACCUGUUAAGUUGAGAAAUGGCCUGUUCCUAUAGAGUCCGCGGCGCAUAAUGAAUCAACCCCAAUAAAAACCUAAAAGGCACAAUAAAAGGAAAGCAAAACUCAGCGUGGUCCCUGCCGGAGCACUUGGCGCUUGCCUCCCCCUAAGUAGCUGUUUAAAAUGUACGCCCGUCCAGGGCGAGAAUUACAGUGGCUUGGAUUUACGGUUGCCAGGGCGGCUGCUUGGGAGCAUGAGAUAUGGCCAGGGGUCCCCACCCGUGCCAGGGGUGAGCUCCCCCUGACUCAGGGGCAAGGGGGGGGUGAUGGGAGCUGAAUGUGCCUUUAAAAGCCACUGAGGGAAAAGGGUUUGUAAUAGAACAGCAAGCACAUCGCUAUCAUGGCCUGACAUUUCACCCCAAACCUAUCAGAGGGAAAGGAGAUGGAGACUCUGAACUGCAAGCAGGGAGAAGCGAACUUUCCAGAAGCCCCACAUUUUUGGAAAGCAACAAUGAGGGCAGGAUCACUCUGCUUCCAUUAGGCAGCCCAGCUCUCUUCGCAUUUGCCGCUCUUUCUGAGCUGUACGGUGGGGCUUAUUUGGGGACACACACUGCAAAAACAUAUAUUUUCUAUCAGGCCUUUCACUUUUACUUAUCUGUAGCCUUUUUGCAUGCGUGGGAUGUUUAAUUCAAGGGUAGUUUUUUAAAAAAUAGAAUUGUGUUUUACUCUUUUUUAAACGCUAUUUUCAUGUAUGUAUGUGUUUGCUAAAAUUAUUGUAAGUCCUUUGAGUUGCUGCGGCAAAUUAGUGACUAAUAAGUUUAAUAAAUAAAAUAAUAAUAAUUUAGAAAGAUGUGUAUAGCACCCAGAAACCUCUAGUUAGUGCAUGAACAGCAGGCUGUGCUUUUUUUGCUGCCCAUUCCCUCAGCUAAGGGAUGGCAGUGAUCACCAUUAUCAUUAUGAUGAUGAUCAGUGCACAAUUGUAGAAGGAACAUGGGAAAACCUGACACAGGAAUGAUUAAAAAGUAGCAAGAUAUGCAUGACUUCUUAGUCACCAACACAGAAUGCGACAGCCAAGAAAAUCUUGGUACAAGUAUGCUGAAGGAGUGGGAGAAUCCGUCACAGGACAAAAGAAUGUUAUGUUCAAAAGAGCUAGCAGGGCAAGUGGACAGGGAUGUGGCCUGGCAGGGAGGAGAGGAGUUCAAGGGCAGAGUUUAGUUGAAACUCUGGUUGCAAUGUUUUCUAUUUGCACAUUGUAAACUGCCUUGCCCCUUAGGGAACAGUAGAUCAUCAUCAUAAAUAAUAAUAUUUAAUAAAAAUAACUAGUACUGUAUAACACAUUCUGGAAUAUACCUAUAAUGGAGAGAAUUACACAUCAUUUAAGAUUUCAACAAGGCCUAAAACCUCCAGACACAUUUUAUAUGAUUUGGCAUUCCUUUAUUAUAUAUGGAAUGAAGCCAUCAUUUUCAACCCUUGUCACCAGCCUGGCAAAUCUGGAACUAUACUUGAUAAUCAAAUAAUGUUGAUAGUCUUUUCAUGAAGACAACAUUUAUUCUCACUUUUUUUCUUUUAUGACUUGGACUUUAUUUUAACUCACAUGUAACUGUGCUUAUUGUACAUGCCCAUUUUACAGUUUUGUUUUUCAUGUUUUAAUUUCCCUCUGUUAUAACUGUUCUGUGUUUUAUAUACAUUGUAAAAUGGAGGGGGGGAACAGCAGCUACUACUAAUAAUUAUUUCCUGGUGGGAGAAAUGCUUUGCCAAAAGUGGUGUUUUUACCCUUAGGUAAAUUGUUGUUUGAUUUCACUUCCAGACAACCUGUUUACUGAGUGUUCAUCCUGAUUCAUUUGCAGGGAGAUUAAAUGAGGCUGGCUAUUUAAUUUGUUGCUUCUCAUUCAUUUGUGGGGAGAUUAGAUGAUGCUGCAUCAAAGCAAGUGUUAUUCCUGCACUUUCCAGUGUGUUUGCCUGUCAUUUUCCUCCUUACAAAAAGUCUGAUCUUUGGGGAGGCUGAUUUCUUGCACGAGACUUCCUGACCAACUGUAAUAACGCAAUCUGAAUUUGCCAGUAUGUGGUUGAAUCGCACCUGAAAACAGUGACAGUCUGGAAGGACUGGAUUGUCCUCAUCGAGGAGGACGAUUCCGUUGCUCCAGCCUGGGCUGCAUUAAUGCAAAUGGCUACUGUGCAGAAGGAUGCAGGGCUUGCGCGUGAGGUGCUCCUUGCGGAGUGUGCCCUAGGCUGGUUUAGCUGCUUGCUGCUGCCAUGGGUGCUGGCAGCCGUUGCCCUUUUCUGCAGGUUUUCAGACUAAUCAGGGACCACCCUCCGCUAGCUUUAUAUGAUGUUUAGGCAGGGAAUUGCCUUUUGCAUUGCAGCUGACCAGGGAAAAAAGAGAAUUUGCAGGAGAAGAGGAGGGAACCCCACUGCAGACAGUAUUCCCUCCUCUUUUCUGUGUCUGAAUUUCUGGGCUUAAGGCCGGCCAUGGGAAAUCAGAGAGAGAGAGAGAGAACUGGCAGAAUCUGAUGCAUAAAGAGAAAGCAGAGGUUUACCAUCCUGAAGAACAACAAGUGUCUUUAUUGUUAUGUUAUUUGUGAAACCUUUGGUGUGAGGUUGCUUGGCGGAUGCAGUGUCAAACUUUCCCCCUUUCCUGGCAGCCAGCUUCCCGCCUGGUGCUGCUGCAAGGGGAUGUUCUGGGUUCCAAAUGGCAACCAGUUAAUGGUGUCAGUCAGCCAAGUUGCCAGCACAGCCGCUUCUAAGAGAGGCGGCUGGGCUGCCUCUGUGCACCACAUCAGGCUCCCUCUUUUUACUGUGGCGCAUCUUCUUUUCUGUCUUUCUCCCUGUGAAGUGACCCCUUCAACCCUGGGCUUCUGCUGCAGCCAGCCGAGCUUUGGCCUGCUUGCCUUCUCAUGAGCAGCCACCUCUCCUGUUAGACUAAGCUUGGGAUGAAACUCCAGGGGGCUUGCCCUCGAGACCAUGUUUUCCACCCCGUCCAUUUCCCCCUCUAAUCCUUUGUGCCGAUUUGGAAAUCUUGUGAACCUGCUGCAGAGCCGCCUUUAUGGCAGGGGAAAUAUUGUUCCACGCAGUCCUCUUCGUUAGAUCCUCACCAACACAGCUCCCAGUCCUCCCCCUGGGAAAUCUUGACCAGGGACAGGGGGCAGUUCUCUGCUUUCUCUAGAUGAGAGGAUAAUUUUGACUUUAUUUCGCCCCCCCCUUUCCUGAAAUGGUGCUUCUGGUGAGAUGCGAGGAAUCCAUGCACGUGGAAGCAGACUUUAAUAACAUUUAAAAGAGUAGGCUUGUAACAGUCAGCUUAAAAUAGCCCUCAGCUGAUUUUUUUUAAAAAAUAUUGAUAACCAAAUAUGCAAGGAACAUUAGUUACCACCCCCAAUUUAAUAGAUUUUCAAAUACACACACACACCCAUCAUGGGAGAAAUUGCUUCUCUUAUGAAUCCUGUUUUUAUUUUGUACAAUAAUAGAUUUGGCAAAUCGUUCUUUCUACUCCUUUUCACUGUCUGAUAUUUAAGCAUGUGUGUAAAAAAUCAGAAGUUUUUUUUUAAAAUGCAUUUAUAAUUGUUCAGAAUUGCCAGUAACGUUUAAUAACUAUCAACAAUUUCUUAAUUGUUUCUUUAGAAAAGCCACCCUUCAGCAUGUCAGUCUAAAUAGCAUCAAAAGAGGCUUUUAAAGAAAUCACAAAAAUUAAGCUGUUUAACAUCUUUUUUCAGAUAAUACUGAUUAGAUUAGAGAUAAUUAUUCAUCUUAAUUUCACUAAAGGAAAAAAAAAUUACUCCCUUCAUUGCUUCUAAAUGAAAUUACAGAUCAGUUUUUCCACAGACAUUUCUUUAGAGGAAAAACAAAGCAUGCUUACAAAUGCAUUCAGAAAGGGAAGACAGACAUUUAUGUUUUCUCUUAGCAUGUCCUUCAGUAAAAUCUUCAAACUUUUAAAUCCUGUUCUGAUUCUUUUUCUGCUAGAAAAUGCCUAUAUGGAUGAGGAAUGGCAGGUAGCUGCACUGUUAGGACUGGUAAUAUUAAAACAUUGUAUGGGCUUGCAACAUGUUCUUCCAAUUUCUUUCUUUUUUUAAAUGUCUCCAUAUAGAUAUAAAUAUAUAAAACCAAACCAUUUAAAACUAAUGGCAAUUUCUGUCAAUUUGCAUUUCUCCCAUUAAUAGAAAAAUGCACUCUCCUGAAAAUCGGAAAGGGUUUGGCCAGCGUAAGUACUUUAAAAAAGAGUUCUUAGUUGGGGCUUUUUGUCACAUUGUAAAUAUUUCAAAUGAAGUCUUUUAACACCAGAGUGGAUAAGGCAGAAAAUGAACUCCCCCCCCUAAGAACAGAAGGAAGGCUGCCUGCCUGCCUGUCCGUCCAUCCGCCUGCCUCCUCCCUUGCUCGCUUGCAAGCAGGGAUCCAGAAUACAGCUGAGAAGCCGUAGGUACUAUUAGGAACAUUAGAGAUGUCAUUUUCCGCAUUAUUUUAAUGGAAAGCUUACUUUUUGGUACAACAAGUCCUUUCUGACAUGAUAUAAAUGUUUUAAAAUAAAAAGACAUUGAGGGGAUGAGAAAAACAUUUUAGCCUUAAUUAUUCAUAAAUAGCUACCUCAACUCCAUUUUCACAAAAUGUCAGUUGACCAAGAAACAUGCUUAUUUUGCAUGAGAAAAAAGAAUAUUUGUGCUGUAAAAGAAUGCUAAAUCAAUGUAUAUUUAACUUAAAAUGAAAUUUGCAAAUAAGAGACAACCGUCUAUCACAGAAGUGCAUUAGCUGGGCAGGGCAGGCCCGGCUGGUGCAGAGAAGCCAAGGUUAACCCUUUCGGAGGAGAAUACCUGCAGGGCUUCCUAAAAGCUGUCUUGGGGGCAGGGCGUUUAGCAGCAAGAGCCUGAAUGGCAACAGCAGUCUUGGGUUGUGCAGAACAGCCCCAUCUGGCUGCAGAGUCCCUGCCUGAUGAAGGGGGGGGGGGGGUAGAAUCAAGGGUCAACCAAGGGUCAUCUAGUCCAACCCCCUGCAAUGCGGGAAUAGGUGCGAUGGGAUUCCUACGCACUUGUGUGCCCAAGGAGUGGUUGUUCUUGUUAACUCUGUCGAUUAAGGGUAAUAAAAGAAGAGUUCGAGGAGUUUACAGGCGGAAUGAAUGUUCUUCUCGUCCUGACACACACACAGCGCCCCCUCCUCCCCACCCCCAUCCAUCUUGCGGUUUUUUUCCUCGGGACCUUCCGUGGCUGAAGUGCGUGUUUGUGUUUCCAGGUUCCGUUGGCAGACCUAAUUUCAGAAUCCAUAAUGCAUGAUUUUGAAACCAAUUUGUUAUUGUAAUAAAAUAAUUUUCGGGAUGCAGGGAGGUCCUGGAGAGGCUGGUGUUCAAUUAUACAUGCACUGCGGCCCGGCGCCUGGGCUGCGCGCGGCGCGCAGGUGGAUCUCCCGGUGACCUUGGCACCGGCGAGGGGAGCCUGGAAUAACAAUCAAAGUCGGGGCUGGAAUUCUGGCCGUUUCCAAAUAUUAACAACUUCUGUCAAAGAAAGCGCUGAUUUCAGCACUUAUGGUAAUGGGAGAGGCAUCGGGAUCUCUCUUUCAGAGAACCUAGAAAGGGAAGAAGCCCCGAUCUUAAUAGGAUUAAAAGCCAGGCUCUUUCCCCCCACCCCCUUUUAUUUUAAAAAUGCUAAUUUGUUUUCCGCGUUUUGUCCUUUCUCUCCGGCUUUGUUAUUCAGGUCAUCGCCAGCAACCCGAUGAGCUGCCAGAAAGCAGCCCACAGGGAAGGCUUCUGUGAAAAGCCCCACAGCAGCGCCCUCCCCUCCACGCCGCCCCCCCCCUCCCAGGCUGUUGCAGGGAGAGGCGCUGGAGCCUUCCUCCGCGCGCGCGGGCUGCUCCGCGGUUUGUUCCGCUCGCGAAUCGGCGCGUUAAUUAAAACAGCCUGGUCCGCCUGUGACCCAUCUUAGAGAGAGAUGAACUGAUCUCGCCUCAGAAGUUGGGCUGUGAAAUUCAAGAGUCGCCUCUUGGCACCUGCCCGUCCGUAAUCUGAUUAUCUGGCAGGAUUUCCCGGGUGCUCCGCGGCUGCUGUCCGUGCAGAACGGGAAGCGGGCGGCGGGAGAGGGGGGAGGCAGAGCAGGGACUCUAAUUCACCAUGUAAUUUGUUCGGAGAUUCCUUUGAUAGGUCUGAAAGUGGAAGCAUCCUGCCGAGGACCCAGGCCUUGCAAAGGCAAGCCACUUGGUUGCCUGCGUGGGGGGAAGCGGGGGAGGGUGUGUACGAGCCCCCCCCCCCCAGCAGGGGACCCUCCCAUGAAUAGCCAUCCGCCAUCAGCAGAGCUCUUCUGUGAGAUGGCAUCUUCAUUUAAACGUUACUUUUAUUGUGGGGGUGGGAUGUUUGUCCUCAGCCCACCUCAGCCCCCCCCCCCAGCUGAAUGUCUGGGGUGUCUGGGUGGGGGAGAACAUGCAUUUCGGUGCAAGCUAUUUGUUGCAUCUCAGUCCUGCUCGGGCUUUGAGCCUCCCCAGCUAACCAGUGGAGCAGCCACUCCCGCCCCCCACGGCCCUUCCAAAGGCACAAAGGAGCAACCGAAGGAAGACUGAGCUCCACACAGCCAGGAUGAGAAAGGAUCAAAGGCAGAGAGGGAUGUUUCUAAUGCGUGUUAGUUGAGUUGUAUACAUGGUUUUCGAAGGAAAGGAACAUAAUGGAAUUUAGUUAUCUCUUCCCAACUCCAUCCCCCCCAAAAAACCCCCACUUUUCAGGCAGGGGUUCUCAGGAUUCCAGGCACAUUUUCCUUAUUUCCGAAGGGGUGUGAUUUUUGGAAGCCAUAACACAUCCUGGGUCCCCCUCCCCUUUCCCAUCCCCUUUAUUUAAUUUUUAGAUGGUUUUCCUGGUAGAUGGACAUUCCUGCAUGUGUGUGUGUGUGUGUGUGUGUGUGUGAGAGAGAGAGAGAGAGAGAGAGAGAGAGACCCUGGCCUUCCCUAUAUCAGCACAUUUUUCAAAAAAAAAAAGCAUGCACUGUGGGGUGGGAUGUGGGGUGUUUGCUUAGGGCAGGGGUCAGCAACCUUUUUCAGCUUUGGGCCUGUCCACAGUCCCUCAGGCCAUGUAGUGGGCCGGACUAUAUUUUGAAAAAAAAUAUGAACGAAUUCCUGUGCCCCACAAAUAACCCAGAGAUACAUUUUAAGCACACAUUCUACUCAUGUAAAAACACACUGAUUCCCAGAUUGUCCGCGGGCCGGAUUGAGAAGAUGAUUGGGCCGCAUCUGGCCCCCGGAUCUUAGGUUGCCUACCCCUGGCUUGGGGGUGCUCAUGCUUCCUGCCCACUGUGGGGAGCUCUGUUUCCAGGGCUUCCUCCCAGGUGUCACAUGGAUCAGGGCUGUGACAUGGGGGGGGGUGGCUUCUCAGCAGGGGGAUGAACAGCAGCCCAACUAUCUGGAAGGCAGCCGAAAGAAGGGGCCUAGGCCAGCCAAGUUGCCGCUGUUAGCAGAGGUCCCACUGCAGAGACCAGAUACCUCCAAGGUUGUGAUGCAGGUGUGGUUUUGCCAAAGGCCACCCUAGCAGCUCCAAGGGUCUUUGUGUUGCAAGCUCAAUGACCUCCUUUUUGGACCCAAAAACAUUACCUGUUUAUGCCAGGGAGGAGCUCUAGGUUGCACCUGUGUUGCCACUGGAUUAUGAAUCAAGCGAAUAUCAUUCUUCUUGAACCCCUCACCUCUGUAGGAGGUCCAUUCAAGAGCAAUGAGUGUUCCGUAAAAGGCAGAGAUUCAUAACAUCGAGAGUGACUUUGAACACCAUGUUAUGACAUUUCGAGAUUAUUAGCUUGAUUUCGUAACAUUCCUCUGCAGUCUUCAUGUACUUUGUCUCUUCCCCAACCCCCCAAGGUACCCAAGGCUGCUUGGUAUUUUGCCGCAGAAAUGCAUCCAAAGGCUUUACAGCAUCUCCGCCGUCUGCAGGAAGGAUUUUCCACUUAUCUGCCUGCAAUGGUGUAGUAGCUUUGCUAGGGGGUGGAUUCUGAAGUAUCACUUAACAUCAAUCCAUUUCCUCGAGAUUCUUGAUAACAUGGUUUGUAUUUCACCACUAAUAAAUAGGCCUGCAGGAAUGUCAAACAGGAGCCUCUCUAUUGCCCUCUCUCCCUCCCUCCCUCUCUCUUUCUCUUGGCUGAACAAUCCCCACCCUCACUUCACAAUUUGGAUGGCUUUGAGUGGACAUUUUGCUUUUCCUUCUGACUUGAGCCUCUGGAUUCUGGGGGUUCAGUUUGGAGGACUCGCCCUGUUGCUCCCCAAGGUUUGGCCACCUGCUACAGUGGUGCCUGCACCGCUGCUUCCGUGUGGGACAAACCUCUGACGUGCUCAUCGUAUAGCUACAUUGUAGACGAGCUUUCAGCUGGGAAUUUUGGUCGUAGAACCAAAGGAGAGACCUUUUCCCCUGACCACCCACUUUGAAUCCCAAGCUGCAGGACUCAGCCAAUUUAAACAACUUGCAGCUCAUCCACACUGGAGUUUAAUGUGGAUUUGGAGCUACUUGUGUGUUUAUUUUUUUGUGGCAUUCUCCUCAGCCCCCACGAAAUGCAGUGUUUUUUUUUUAUCUGAUAAAGGAAGAAAAUCCAAUAUAAAACUGCAUGUUACCUGACUGUGGAGCGCAUCGUGUGGGUGAUCACCCUCCCCCCAUGUGUGGCAGGAUUUCACUGGGUGCCGUCUACUGCCACAACUCCUAUUUCCAUUUUGUUUCCAGCAGCCAAAAUGGUUUUUUCUGCUGUUCAUUGUUGAAGCCACAUUUGCAGUGUGCCAAUUUUAAAAGCAGUUCUGCACAAAAUUGCUCUUGCACAAGGCAGCUGUAUUCAAAAUAAAAAUAAAGUGUGUCCUUGCAGGUACAGGAAGUGAGAAGGGAAAUAGGCAGGAAAGGAAGCAGCAGCCUCUCAUGUUAGCAAUUCCAAAACCUUGACUGGCUUGGAAUCUCUCUCUCUCUAACACACAUAUAUAAUCUGGUAUAUCAAAAAACCUGGUUUUAAUUUUUUUUAAAGGUGUGCAUGCACAGGUAAACAAAUGCCUGCUUGCCUGCCCAUAAUGGACCUCAGGUUUCUGAAGCACAAGUAUUUUUGUUAUUAUUCACUUUUCUGCAAAUCUAGUAGACUGAAAAACUUUUAUUUGGAACCAUUUAUUAUUUUUAAACGUUCGCAUGCAUAGAUAAACAAACACUUGCAUGCAUGCCCACAACAGACCUCAGCUUACUGGAAUUUAUGGUGGAUGGGGGGGGGGGACAGAAAGCAGCAAGACUACAAGCGGCGUCCACUCCUGUGGACGGGAAACAUCAAUACAGAUUUUGGAGGAAUAAAAUUGAAAGUGUGUGGACUAAGACACACAAGUACAGAGACAAAAACAGCUACCCAUGGAUGCCUUAGUAGGGAAGCAGCCUCAGUCCUUUUUUUUUUUACCCAGUCAAGCUCUUCCAAGUUGACUUUACUAUGUAGAGAACCAUUCACAGUCUGCCUCGGUUUGAAUAAAAACCCGCCCCUCAUCUUUGCAAAUGAACCAAAACAGUGCUCAAGAGCGAUGUGCCGCCUUAAGCCAUUUGACAGCUGUUGAAACCACAAAUAGACAAUAAGGGGAGGUAGGGUAGGUCAGUCUCAUUGUCUCAAGAAAGGGGCCAAGGGAGUUGCAUGGGUCAGGCCCCAGCCAGGGGUUGGUGGUUGGUCAGGCUGGCCCCUGCCAAGAGCAUGGGCCCAGGAGGGGUGCAAAAAUUGCACCUCUCCACUUUGUCUUGGAGUAGCUGGGAGCCUGCCCAUCUGCAUGCUCCCGAGGCCACUCCUCCACUGAUCCUGGGCGGCUGGCCGAGGCAUGCAGGCUCCUCUGGGUACCUCGUUGGAGAAACCCAGUUGCUGGCAUGUGCCAUUGCAGCUGCUAGAAGUGCAAGAGGAGUGCCCAGUGGGGCUCCAAGGGUGCAAGGGACUGGGAGGGGUGCAUAAUCUGGCAGCCUUGCCCCCACUUGUGGGACUUCAAGAUAGCACACAAGCCAGUUUGGUUCAGGGUUCAGGAAUAAUCCGAUGGGAUGCAGCCAAUAAUAAGCUUUUCAUGGACGGUCUUCCGUGUCCAGAGACAGUCUAUCUGUGAAUACCAGAUGCUGGUGACAAACAGGCUUGUGAUCUUCCAGAUGCAUCAUUGGAAAGCAGGCACCUCAUCCUGAUCCAGAAGCGUAGUUAUGGAUGCUCAUAACUAUUUCUAGCUUGAAUUUGGCCCACUGCACAGCGUGUCCUCCCAGGCAAGCAAUCUAUAUCCUCUAUGUAAAAACAAAACAAAACCCCUCUUCCCUUUGGGUGGUGAGCAAAGGCUCCCUCCUGCUGCAGCCCCUGGGAGGGUGUGGCUCGCAAGCCCCGGGGAGGUGCAUUUCCCUGUGCUGCGAUUGGCUGCCAGACAAGGCAGGUCAGAGGAGAACAGAUUCACAAGUGAAAAGACAAUUCUUGACAAGCAAGACCCAGGCUCAUAUUGGGCUUUUCUUUCUCUGGGGAAUUCAAGAGAUGAAAUGUCAAAUGAAACAAGCCCUUUUUAAUUUCUUAGAUUACAUCCAGCUUUUAAUAAUGUGGCGCCCUGGAAAUGAGAACAGAUAAUAUUUGCCUUGUAAAACAGAGCAGCCGGGUUCCUGUCAGAAGGCAAAUCGCCUCCCCAGGCUUUGUUGUGGGUUUCAGCUGACAAGUUUGCGGAUGCUCUGGUUUGUAAGCUAAUGGGAUCCAGAUGUCUAUCCAGUGAGGCAACUUUUGCACCGUUGUUCCUCCUACCCCCUCCUGCAGGAGGGACAGCUGUGGCCACAGAGAUUCUUGACACUUUCUCCACAUUUUUGAGCAUUUCAGAUCACUUUUAAGCUCCUUCCUUCCUUCCUUCCUUCCUUCCUUCCUUCCUUCUGUAUGGUGCUUAAAAAGGAGAAAGAAAGCGCAAGACAGCCAUUUGUAAUGCAGAUGAGCAUUCUGGCCAGUUUCAGGCUUUAGAUAUGCAUCUCAAACUCUGACUGAAGGAAUAACUGCUUUAAGGCUCCCAGGAUCACAUGGUGGCUUGUACAAGUAACACAUGGUGAUGCACUGAAGGUGCAUGAACAUCUUUCUCUGAUUAAAAUGAGUGGGUCUUGAGAGCUCUUCCCUUUGGCUGCAUUGUACCCCCCUCAGCCACUCUUGCUUCCUUGUAGCAUACACAGACACAGGGCAAGGCCAAAGACAUCACUGAGGGCCAAACAGCAUGGGAGAGAGGCCCACUGCUCUGUCCUCUCUCAAAGUACUUUGUCCUGCUGCUCACAGUACUUUGGCCCCAUGGCCCUUUGCAUCUCAGCUGAAAUACCAGAAGUGGCUCUAACUGGGAGAAAAGUUCCCAGAGAGCAGGACUGGGGACAGAAAUGGAUGAGAUGAAAAUAUGGGUCUGAACCCCCACCCCCUGGCCCUUUAAACAGCACCCUCCCACCCAAAAACAUGCACACCUGCUUUCAACCUGCACUUGAAGACCUGGUCUUGUCCCUCUCAAGGGUUGUUUGGGCCUGAUCCUAGCUGGAGUUCCACAUGGAGCCUGGGAAAUUGUCCCUCCAGCAAGAGGACGGAGAUGGGAGCUGCCUGAGUUCCAACUGCCCAGCUUCCUAGAGGAGUCUGCUUUCUUUCUUUCACUCUUGGAGAAACCUGUUACUCAGUGGGCAAUAAAACUGAAAAUAAAGAUCAGAGCCAGUGGAAAUGUCAUAAUGGCAGGGGGUAGAAGCAUUAGACGUUGCCCAUAAAAUGUGAGAGAUUUAGACGUUUGCACCCCAUUAUUGCGCCAGAGGUCGGCUUUCUUUCUUUCUCCACCCCCCUUCUUCUCCUUCACCUUUUCCUGGUGGCAGGCUGCUUCUGCUACCCCCCCCCUUCUGACGCACCCCUUUCCAUUUACUGCCCAUAGUGAUAGAUUUAUAUUUUUGCUAUGCUUCCCUCCCCAUUUUUUGGAACUUAAUCAGCAGCAUAUAUUCUCCCUAACUCUGUUCCCAAACUACAGAACCACCUGGGUUAGAUUCCCUCCUGCCUGCCCACCCUCACCCCCGUUAACACUAUUGGUCUGAUUUGUACAUGUGACAUUUAGGUGGAUUUAGCCUACAACAGGUUCAUAUUUUAGAUAGCUCUAUUUUCCCCCAGCUCCCUUUGCGUUGGCCUCCACCCUCCACCAAACAUUUUCUCCUUUGCUGUUGUCCAGAAAACCUUCUCCUUCACCCCAUUUCACUGAGGAGAUUGCCUUGCCUGAGAGGAGGUAAGCCCAAAUCCACAAAUCCACAGUGAAAUGAGUCUUUUGUAGGCUCUGCCUAGAGAGAUGCUAUAAUAAUAAUAAUAAUAAUAAUAAUAAUAAUAAUAAUAAUAUUUAUACCCCGCCCAUCUGGCUGUGUUUCCCCAGCCACUCUGGGCGGCUUCCAACCAAAUAUUAAAAACAAUACAGCAUCAGACAUUAAAACUUUCCUAAACAGGGCUGCCUCCUAAUAGUUAGGGAGAAGGCACCAAACACCCUUUUCAAUACAAAAACCUAUUUGUGGGUCAAAAAAUUUAAAGCGUCCAUGAUAACAAAACCCAAAUGUUUGGGACUGAGCCAAAAAAUUAGAUUCAGAUUAAAAAACAAACAAAAAUUCAGAUUCAGUGCAAAUUCAUGUUUUCAUUUGAGUGUGGGAAUAUCCACAACCAGUGCUUUUUUUCUUUAAAAAAAAUGUUUAGGGAUAGUCUCAUUUUGACUCAAGAAAAUCACCAUUUUAUAGUUCAAAUCAGGAAAAAUAAAUACAGUAAAUGGACAAAAGUUCAUAAAAUGAUUAGGGGUAUGCGUACCCCUGUGUCCCCCCCCCCGAAAAAAGCACUGUCCACAACCAAAUCCUAACCAUUGCAUGGGGCAGCCAGAUGGAUGUGACUUGGCUCUAUCAAAAUCACAUCACUGUGAAAACAGAUGGGUAGUUUUAGAGUUUCUUUCCUUCAAGUUCAGCCCAACUUUUCUUCCUUUUUACAUCUUUUCACCACAACCUAUUUCCCACUCUCCCCACACACACUCAAUUUGCAAUUGAAAUAACCCGAGACUCUUCCGAGAGAAGCUGAAGAUAUUAACUAUGAAAUUCUGAAACAAGAGCUAUAUCGUCGGCUUCCCAUGAAAUGAGAAAUAUGUUCUCUUCAGCCAACUACAUUUGACAGGAGGCUUUUGAAAUUAACUCUAUGCUCAGAUGAUCACUUUCCUACUGUAAUUAUCAAGUGCAGUAAUUCAUAAUAGGAGGUGUGUGAGUACAUCAUGCUUUCUUCAACACAUAACACACAUCUCCACCACCAAUUCAGAAAGCAAAAGGGCCCACUUAAAACAAGCAGCCUCUCCAAGGGCAUGUGUGUGUUUGUGUGUGCAUGCGCCAGUGAGUGAGGUUUGCAUUCUCAUUCUCUCCAGACAAACCAUCUGCUUACAUAUGGAUGAAGUCACUUUUUGAAACACCUUUCCUCCACCUCUCUGGAGAACAAUAAUCACAUAUUCUCCCCGCUUUCGGACAUGUCUGGGGAAGGCAGAAAAAUGGAUGGCAGGCAGGCAAAAGUCCCACCGGUGGAGAGCUCCACAAUAGGCCCUUGGAAGUAACUGAAGAUAACUUGUAUUUUGAGUCUCAACUUCAGGCAUGGUCAGGAGGGAGAGAAGUUAAUGUUGUGAUGAUAUCACACGAGCCCCUGUUACAUAUCCAUGGAUCUAGGCCCAGGGGAUAUUCCUCUGGCUUUUCUUUCUUUGGGUCUCUCCUCUAAUUCUUGCUCAAGGCUAUUGAAGCAAUUGGCUCUAAGCUCCAUGAAAUUUGUUUUUAUGGUCUUCUAGUUGUGUUUGUUCUGAUCUGAAUUUUCUGCGUGUGCAAUUGCCACAUGAGCACCUGUACCCCUGUGUUGUUUCGGUUUUGAUAGUCACAAUUACAGUGGUACCUUGGGUUACAUACGCUUCAGGUUACAUACGCUUUAGGUUACAGACUCCGCUAACCCAGAAAUAUUACCACGGGUGUAGAACUUUGCUUCAGGAUGAGAACAGAAAUUGUGCUCCGGCAGCGCGGUGGCAGCAGGAGGCCCCAUUAGCUAAAGUGGUGCUUCAGGUUAAGAACAGUUUCAGGUUAAGAAUGGACCUCCGGAACGAAUUAAGUACUUAACCCGAGGUACCACUGUAUUCCAUCAUUUGCUAUUCACACGAGAAGGUGGAGGCCAGGGUUGCUAACAGGGAAGUAAAAGGGGUUCACAUGUACUAAGGCCCAUGCCAGCAGGGGGGUUCAUACUCUUAUCAUUCCUUAGGGGGUAAAAUAGGUAAACUGGAAAUUUCUAAAGGAAGUUAUAAAUCAAAAUGUGGAGAUGGCUCUAAGGCUUUGGUACUUGACAGACAUUGCCACUGCUAAGCAGUCUUAAUGUUGAUAUUACAACCCCCCCUUUUUUUUCCUGGCCUGCUUGUCAUCACUGGGCUGUUAUUUAUUAAUAUACUUUAACCAUAAAGCAAAAAUAGAAAAUUUUGAUACACCUUACAGCUGCAGCAAGUUAAAAUCCCUAUGAGGUGCUCUGGACCCCUAGAGAGCUGCUGCCCUUCAGUGUAGACAACAUGGAGUUGGAUGAACCUAUUUGUUUGACUUGGUCUAAGGCAGCCCCUCAUGUUCCUCCAGACUCAACUACAGCAUCUCCUGCCUGCCUGCUCUUAUCUGCUCCAGCCACAUGCAUCUAUUCUCCCUUACAGAGGCAGCUUCAGUUCUGACUGUGGGCUUCACUGUUGUUCUCCUUUGGACUGUCCUUAACACAAUCAAUAAAAACAGGAAUGAAAACAAUUUCAAGAAGACCUUCUCAACAUGGAACAGCCCAGCCAGAGAAGGAGAGCCUUAAGUAAUUGACUGACAAAGUGAGUGAAAUUUAGGUGCCCAGAAACAAGGUUUCCAUUUUGGAAGAAGUGGGAGCACAGGAAAUGACUCUUCUGCCAUGAAAACAUUCAAGUCUUUUCCCUUUCAUGCCUUGGCCUGAGAAUGGUACCAAAUGAGGAGUGGCUAUUAAAUGGAUCUACAUGUAAGCAUUCCAAACAAUUUUCUUAUCUUCUCAUCUGAGAAAUGGGUGGCUUUUCUCAGCUUUUUAUGAUUCCAUGUUAUGAUGUGCCUUCUCCCAGGGGGAAGGCAAUUUCUCUUUUCUAGAGCAGAUAUUACAGCCAUAGCCUUAAAAAAAAAAGCCUUUAAAAACUGGUGCUCUCUUUUGCAGAGGGAGGAUGGCACACUGGCACCCAAAGGCUUUACACAUUAUACUCCAAGACAGAAGCGGGAAAGGAAGGGAGCAAUAGAGAAAUAGAGCUGUUUUUGGUGCAUUUAAGUGCUAUUUAUCAGAGGAGAAUUGAAAGCAAUACUAUUAAGCACUGUUUUUGUUAACUUGAAGAAGUAAAAGGGGGAGAUUGGCCAGUCCUGUUCUGCCUUUUUGUUAACCAGGCAAAGUAAAGAAAUAGCCACAAAACCUUUAGAAGCAUUCAAGUACCUUACUGACUUUCAUCAGAUGUUUGCUGCAAAAAAGAAAAAAAGGGAGGGGGAAUCGUUCUAUCUUUUUAUUUUUGCUUUGCUUUAAUCUUAUUUGAUGAUGUCUCAACAGGCUGGGGCAUGCUUUCUCGGAUGGCAAUUUCACCGCACCAUAUGUGUCUCUCACAAGAUAGCAGAGUGAAAUGAGUCUUGGCAGGAAGAGAACUAAACAUAUCGACAAAGAAAAGGAAAAAAAAUUAUUUACUUAACUCCCUCUUGCCUGCCUGCAUUUCCUUCCCUUCAGCUGCUUCUGCUCCCAGUCAGCCGGGUAAAGAUACAGGCCCGGCUACAGCUUUGCUUUGCAGCCAUCUUUGUUAGUUUUAAUCUCAAACACUUGCCACAAGGCAGCAUAUCAGCUCGACUGAGGAGAGCUUGCGCUGUCCCAGAAUACCCAGGAGGCAGUUGAGCACAAUUCGGCCCUACAGCACCUCUUUGUUGCCACCCUUCCCAGUAAUGAGUCUUUCCCCCAAGAAUCCUUCUCCAUCCCUAAACUCUGGAAUACAUGAGAGGUACUCUGGGAAACUCUGAGAUGCUUGGUUUGCUGUCCAUUUCCCAGAUGUAAAAACUAGACCUCCUGAAUCAGUCAGUUACAGAUUUCUCAGAGUCCAAACAUUCUAAGGAAGAGCUCCUGUUAUACCAUAGUAGCCAAAGACCAUGUCCUCUGGUCUUGUGAUGUUGUUCGUGAGGAGAGUCUGCCUUGAGGCUGCCUGUGAUGGCGCUUUACUCUGAAGUGCAUCAAUCACCCAGUGGGGUCCUUAAUUUCUGCUUCCAGUUCUCAGCAGACAGGGGGUUAAUGGAGCGCGUGCGCUAAGGCGGGGGUGGUGCAAGGUCACUCGGAUCUGCUUGUGCCUCACACUUGCAAGGGCUUUGAAAAGUGGAAUUCAUUUCUGUUUACAGCCAUGUCACAGCCAUUUGAAUCAUACGUAUUUGUAUGAGCUGGAUAUUUAGGAAGCAAAUUGAGGCUCACUCGUGCAUAUGUAGGAGAAUUCUGUAAAGGGCUGAGUAUUUUCCAAGCUAGAUUUAUCCAUAACAUAUAGGAAAACCUUGACUAGGCCUAUAAUUAAAAGUACUCAUCUUUUUCUUUUCUAACCAUGUGAAACAAUGGUUGAUCUUCAAGGAAUCCCAUCUCAAUUAGCAAAUGAGUGUUUCACUAGCACUUAGAAGCUACAGAGUGCCUUAAUCUGCCUCAGGACGAUGGCAGAGGACCAAGAAGCCUGGGAUGUGCUUUGCGGUGGUUUUGAAAACCCUUGAAAGCUUUGCGGAGAAGGAUAGUUAGAGCAGUCCUGGGUGUGGCAAGAAAGACCAUUGGGGGCUCAGGGCUGCUGCUGGAUGCAGGCUGGAGAAAUGCCUCUUUGAGCAGGUUUAUUGAAUAAUAAUAAUCUUUGCUAGGAGGGCAGCCCUUUGUCACUUUCCCAAAUAAGGCUCUUAAAUAUGCAUGUAUGCAACAUUUAGGCUUUCCAUUUUUCUUCAUUACAGAAAGUAAUAUUACUUUUCUCUGUGUUAUUUCUAAACUCAGACGUAGCUUUUUCCAUGCCUGACAUUUAAGCAGUCGCACAUUACCUACUCCAGGGUGCCUGAAAGCAACUUUCCCCAACCCAGCAUCAUAUGGUCAUUCUGUUUUGGGGUGCUGGAGUUUGUAGUCCAAAAUCUCUGGAAGGAACCAGGUUGGGAAAGGCUAUCUUAAAUGAUUGUCUAGUGUCACCUUGCAGAACCUGGUGCAGUUGUAUGUGUAAGCGUGACUAAAAGCCUUUCCGGAAUUCACUCAGAUUGCAAAGAGAGAUUUUCUUGCAUUGGUUUGGCAGUGUUCUAUGUGCUAUCAGAGCACUCAAAGUGCAUUAUGUUGGGAGCGAAAGAGAUGUGACAAGCAAUGAAACAAAACAGAAAAUGCCCAGUUUCCACGAGUGCUAAUAAAUCUCAGGAAAAAGCCACUUCCAGAAAUGAACUCAAAUGUACACAAUCCCAUUGUACUAUUUACCCUCUGUACCUGAUCCCUGCCACAAAGUUCCCAGAGUUCAAGAAGGUGCUUUGGCUUGAAGCUUGUUCCAGGAGCCUGAAACCGGGCUGUAGGAUGAGGGCAUUUGUAAGUGCCACCUGUGCCACUUGGACAAAUUCUGCCUAUCUGCAGAUCUGCAGGGGGACACAGUGCAUAGAUUUUAUAUACCUGUAUGGGGGUAUAUGUUAAAGUCACUUUCAUUUUGGAGAGGAGGCAACUUAUGAACAUUUUAAAUAGUAAUGCACUUAAAAAAAUCUGGCAAUAUAUAUUUUAUAUUUUUACUCUAAGAAGAGAAAAUUUCCAUUAUUUGCUGUGAAUGAAUCCUUCAGGUUUGUUAUGCCAAGGUAUAUUUCAGGGUGUAAAAUGUGCUUUUAGGCAAAAAAAAAUAUCUCUCUAAACAGUGACAAGUACAGUGGUAGCAACUUUGUACUCUGUUAAUGAUUGCUCGACGUAAAGAUUUAUCUGUAUUAUCUCCUGCUGUGCAGUUCCUUGGACAUCAUAGGGAACUGCAAUGUACAAAAGCGGGAGAGGUUGUUUGGGGGGAGGGGUCCUGCUGCAGAGUCACAGCUUGUUGGAUCGCUGAGGUUGCUGGAUUUUACCCUACAAAGAGAUGACUUUACAAAAGGGACUUCCGAUCUAGUGGGGCUGCGUUUGUUCUUUCUGUUCCUGAUCGCCCCCGCCCCGCGCGCGCUCCGCCUGCCUCUGGCUUUUCCUUUUCGUAUGAUAAAGUUCUUAAUCACCUGUUCUCUCUGCAAAAGUCUGCAUGGGUACACAGAGAGACAGACAGACAUCAGCCAUGGGAAUGGGAAUGCAUUAGCCCAGAGGAACAAUUCGCUGGGGAGAGGGCGGGAUUAGGGGGUGCUUUGCUUUGCCUAUCAGCCUGAUUAUCAUUCGCAUUGCAGGAUAAAAGCGUCGGAAGUGAUGAUGCCAUCGAAGAGGCAUUACCAGAUUCUUGGUUCGAGACAUUUGCGAAAGUGAGAGAGAUCACUUUGCAAAGUGCUGGAACUUGAAUGGCAGGCAUGAAAGGUUUCUUUCCGCUGGGGGUGCAUUCCUUGGAAAGCCACAGCCCUCUCCACAGGGCAGGGAAAGGCAACACCUUCGCUUCCGAGCACUUUAAUAGCCACACACUCUUGCGGUGUGAUACCCCCACGUCUGCCAAGCACAUGGUUACGGCAGCCUGUGCGUUUGUUUCUGAGUGUUCAGUGGACCGGGGGGGUUUGAGCCUUUCUUCCUUUCAUUCAGCGAGGCAGAGUUCCCAUGCUGAGGAGAGGCAGCUCUCAGGCUCUGAAAAAUUGCAUUUAAAUCAAGGAAAUGCAAAAGAUUCGUGGAAAAACCCGGCUGCUGUCACGGGGGGGGGGGUGACUUGCUGGUGUCCAGCGGUUUUCUGCUUGUUUUCGUCAUUGCAACUUGACCCGUGGCUUAGGAGGAGGGAGCUCUGGCGAAAAUGCCGAAAAUAAUGAUUUGGAUCGAGGCUGAGUUAGAUGAACUUUGGUCUCAUUGAAAAGUGGGGGAUAAGUUGACCACAAUUUACAGCACCGUUGAUUCCAAGGGCUACGAAGCGCAACUAACCCAAUGUAAAUUGGGAGGGGGAGAAUCACUAAAUGAGACAGGAAUGGGUUUUCUUGUGGGGUGGGGGGCUUGUCACAAAUGUGACUGUCAUACAGCUGACCAGAGCGUUGCAAUAGGGUGUGCUGGGUUUGGGAUGGGGGAGGAAGAGGUGUUAACAUUUCCCCAGUAACAAAAUAUUGCAUGUUUUGAAUUCUGGGGAAAUGCCAUUUCCUUGUCAUCGCUGAGUAACCACGGUGCAUUCAGCACACAAAAGGGGGGAGAGGCACCAUUGUGUCACGCUGAAAGUGGCUCAUUUAAAACAGCCUAAAUUUGAACAAGUUGGAAAGGUUACAAGCUGCCUUAGUGAGGACACGGCUGUUUCUUCAGUCAAAAGCUCUUCAGGUUUGACUGGGAGAGGGAUGUUUAAAUAAUCAGAAUUAUUCUGACAUUUUCUUUUGCCUUGCCACCAUUAGUUACAUGCUAGGUAAAAAAUAAUAUCCUGCAGCUAUUUAUUCAUGAAAUAUUUUAAAUAAAGGCCAGAUUCAUUUUCCAGUGAAUUUUGCCAAAUUCCUUAGCCAUUUAUUAGUGACUGUUUCUGCUAAUUACUUAAAUAUUCGUUGCAAAUCAAUGUAAUAUUCAUUACUUUGAGGGAAAAUGUUUCAGAAGAGCUUUGCAAGAAAUGACAAUUUCUCCUAGUGUGGUCUCUGCAAAAUUUGGUGUCAUUUCCUGUAUUAACACAGAAUCAGUCAAUUCUCCAGAGAGGAGGAGGCAAGGUGGUAAAACUAGGAUAAAAGCUUGAUAAUUCAAGCAAGUACUCUGCAAAAAAAAAAAAAAAAAAAGUAGCAUCCUUUUGGCUUGUGGAAAAAUUGAAACAGCAAAUCUCAGUGAGCACCUGGGAAGAAUCUGCGCAAAUACUAAUAUAUCAGUACAUGGAUUAAAACACCAAAACGGUCAGAUAGUCCCUGCUGCAUUUUUAUUAUUAUUUUGGACUAAUUAGAGUAUUGUAUUUGUUCUGCUGUGCCGACUGCUAUAAACGUCACCUUUUGUAAUUGUAACAAUUAGGAUUUUAACAUUUUAACCAAUUCUCUCUUAGGCACUGCCUGGACAUUAUCGUGUCCCCCAAACCAGUUGAUGGGUCUCAGAUUUAUUAUUAUUUUUUUCCUCUGAAAGAGAAAGAAUUUGCCUUCCUCCUCCUCCCUUCACGCAGAAUAGAAGCAACAGCAGCCAAAAGAUACCCAAAUGCCCGGCCUUGGAUCUGGCUGGGGGAACGGAGAUUGCAACGGCAAAGGCAGUUGUUGGCGGCGGGGGGGCGGGGGAGAGCCGGCAGCCUCUGGAAUUUGGCUGCGUUUGCAGCCUUGAUUUCCAGGGGGCCUGUGCCAGCCACGUGGCUUUGCUUUGGCUCUGCCUAAUCUCCAGUCCCGAGACAUAUAGUCACCCCCCCCCCACCGGGGCAGGGGGCAGUCAGCAGCCAUCUGUGCCAUCCCAGGCAGGCCUCGUCCUGCAGCCACGUUCAAGUCCAGUGUCCGAGCUGUCCUGGGAAGUUUAUCGUCCACUCCAUCAAAGGGUCUAAUGGUCAGGAGAGAGGUCUUGAUGGGUCCCUGGUGACCCGGCAUUAACAGAGUGGACUUGUUUAAGUGUUACGGAGGGUGUCUCCGAACGAUCCCGACGCCAAUCCCCGUUUCCUUCAAUGAGCGCUCAUUUGGGUCAUGGCUCAAUAGGACUCUCUCUCUGCUGACCUGGCCGAGCCUGGAAGGGCUCCUCCGGGGGCUGCCCUCCCCUCGGUGACCAGCAGACAGAAGGGCGGAUCAAUGCCCUCUGACAACAAACGAAACAAUCGCCUCCCCCCUCCGCCCCCCUCCCGCUCCUUCUGUCCAAGUAGCUUGGAAACGAUCAAGAUAAAUGGUUGGGUCUGAACCUGGAGACUCCAGACCGAAGGAGCCCGAGGGCAGGCAAAUCCAAUUGGCUUUUGCAUAACGAAAAUGUGAGGUUUAGGGAGUCAAUGUAGUGCAAGAUUAAUCCAGAUUAAACUGUUUGGCGGCACUCACUCGGCUGUUCCCCCUUUUGUCCCCUGGAACGGCUGGGGGUGUGUGUGUGUUCCUUCGGCUGCUCAUCUGAAUAUGUGUGUUGUGUGUGUGUAAAGCAGAAAAGGUGUAGCAGGAGGUAUUGAAGCAGUACACACUAAUAAUAAUAAUAAUCAUCAUCAUCAUCAUCAUCAUCACAUUUUAUUAUUACCUUUUAACAGUGCAUUUAAAUUUCCCCCCAUAAAAAAUAGGUUUUUUUUUGUUCCCCCCUUUCCCUCCUUCUUUAAGAAAUUACAUUUGAAGUAUUUUCCUUUCCCCCACCAGGAUAGGAGCAGCUGUUUCCUUAUGGAGAACUGUUCAAAGCGUAUACCUGUAAGUUUGUUCCUUGCUAUUCCACACUGUACAGUAAUAAUAAUUUCAUUUCUCAUACAAAUUUUAUUAAUUGUCAGAUAGCUGUAUCAAUUCUCUCUUGAAUAUUUUUGUUGCACAGUAUUUAUUUUCUAUUUUGUUUUUUGCACCUAAAUUUGAAAAUAGAAUAUUUCCCUCCUCUGUUCUCCUCUCUCUGCUGAUCCUGCACAUUUAAUAUUUUGGGUAAAAUUCAUACAAAAAUGUAAUCCCUUCUUGGCAAGGGAUUUCAAGAGAUAAUUGAAACAGUUUUCUCUAAAAAAUGUAUAUAUUAUGAAAUAAAGUUUAAGAAAAAUAACUGCAUGGAAGCCUUGUUUUAAAUAUGCUGACAGGCAUCAAACAUGUUUCUAAACCCAACAUCCUAUGAGGAAAGAACGUGGAAAUAAAUUGCAGAGAAAAAGAGCCAAAUAAUUUUGAUAUUUAAGCUAGUAUUUUAGCAAAUGUUUCAUAUAUGAAUUGGUUUGAAUAUGUGUGGG